rnacentral:lncRNA from 1 species
GUGGCAUGCCCGGUGCUACCAAUCUGAAGGAAUCUGAAGUAUUAGAAAGCAUUGUGAAGAAGCAGGCCUCAGCUGGGCGUCUUUAUGCUGCUGUCUGUGCUUCACCUGCUGUGGCAUUAGGGUCUUGGGGUCUGUUGAAGGGAUUGAAGGUAAGAGUUAGAUAAGCCUUUUUGAUGUUUUGUGGUCUUUUGGGAAUUGCACUGAUAUUUUUGUUAUAGUUCAGUUUUCUUCUCGCUGAUGAUUGUUAAGUUCUAAUUUAUGUAGUUGUUCAUUUUUCGUAGGCUUCUUGUUAUCCGUCAUUUAUGGAGCAAUUAGCUCCUGCUUGUGCAGCAACUGUUGAAUCAAGAGUACAGCAGGAUGGUAAAGUUGUUACGAGUCGUGGACCGGGCACUACCAUGGAGUUUGCCGUUGCACUUGUUGGGCAGUUGUAUGGGAAAGAGAAAGCUGAUGAAGUUUCUGGGCCACUGGUAUUAACUUUUAUAGAUAACGUUGUUUAAAAAAAUUAUGAGUUAUAUAAUUUGUGGAAGCUUCAGAUGCUAAUGUAUUCAAGAAAAUAAGUUCAGGGGAAGAGUAUGACUUUUUGCAUUAGUGAUUCAUUAGAUGAAAUUGUAUACCUGCUGGUCCAUCAUAAGGUGGUGAAAACAAUGUUUGAUUUAAUUAAUGGAAUCCUGAAAUAUGCAUUUGUUGAGCUUCAAUGUCUCCACUGAUAAAAUUCUUUUUAAUGUAAGUUCUUUCUCUUGGUAUUCUGCGCAAAUGUUGUGGUUGUGUCAGUUGAGGAUAAACUAGAAAUUCUGGCUUCUCGUCAAGUUAAAUUAGUGCCAGAUAUGCUUAUUGAUGAGGCAGCUAAACUUUCGUAUGAUUUGAUUGUCUUGCCAGUAAGUGGGGUUGCUAACUCUUGCCUCAUAGUCUUUACCAAAUUAUUGACUUACUAACUACAAUUUAUCUAUGCACAGGGUGGACUUGGUGGUGCUCAAGCAUUUGCGAAGUCAGAAAAAUUGGUAAAUAUGCUAAAGAAGCAAAAGGAAUCAAAUAGGCCUUACGGUGCUAUAUGUGCAUCCCCAGAACUAGUGUUGGAGCCCCAUGGCUUACUCAAGGUAUGACCAUUUCUGAUUAAAUAUUUACUCUUGAUUUGAAUCACCUAAUCUGAACUUGAUAAAAUAUUGUGAUCUUGUGUGAUUUUAUGAACGUGGUCUUAUCUCAUGUAAGUAUGUAAUGAAUUUAUUGAAGUUUGCUGACAAAUUACAAACUCAAAAACUGCUGCUGCUGCUUCAUUAGUUACAGUACCCAAGGAGUUAUGAUAGACAUCCCAAACCUUUUACCCCAAAUUCCCUCUCAAAUGACAUGGUAGUUAUUAAGUGGUUGGUAAUUUUUUAUUAGAUAGAAGUGAAUUAAUUAUAUUAUUUAAUCAACCAAUUGAUGAAUGUCACGCCAUUUGAGAUGAAUUUUUGGGAUGUGUAGCAAAACUUUAUGCUGAUUUGUUUUGGCUACAUUCAUGUAAAACCUUUUUCCCCAAAUCCCAAGAACUUCCCGCAAUAUCAUUCCUUUGUAUUUGUUUUCCCCUUUAGACAUGUUUAACUUUGGUUCAGGGUAAAAAAGCUACGGCUUUUCCUGCCAUGUGCAACAAGCUAUCAGAUCAAAGUGAAAUCGAAAACAGGGUUGUGGUUGAUGGCAACCUUAUCACCAGCAGAGGGCCAGGAACUUCCAUGGAGUUUGCACUGGCAAUUGUGGAGAAGUUUUUUGGCCGCAACAAAGCUCUUGAGCUUGCAAAGAUAUUGCUUCUCUCCUGCACCUAAAAUUUGUACCAGGACCUGACUACUAUUAAACUAGAGUAUUUAUUCCUGUAUUACUGCUGCUUGUAGAGAGGCGAAAUGGAAACUUGAAUUCGUGUUUGAAUAUGGAUUCACUGUGCGGGUUUGUACAUGUUGAUGCCUAAAAUCUGUUCUGGUUUAUUAGCGACUUAAUAUCAGACUUCUACACCAGCAUUAGAUUUAUUUGGUAGAGAAUCGAUUGAUCAAUCGUCUAAAUGUCCUGCAACCACCAGCGAUUAACCUGCGAAUACCUGAAAUCAUAGAAGAUGGUCAGAGGCGCCGGAAGUUUUUCCGGCGUGAAGCCUCCGACGCUCAAGUCAGUUUCUAGGCCUUUCGGAAAAAUUUAUGCCACCACUCAUGUGGCUUAAUAAGCAUUGCCUUAAAACCCAAAGCUUUUCGAGUAAUUUACAGAAAGUAAAGUAUAGUGUAAAAGUAAGAAUUUUCCAUGAGAGGAAGAGAGCCAAAAGCCCCUUGGAGAAGAGAGAAAAAAUAAAUAAAUAAUCCCCCCUAGGUAAUUCCCCACUCCCCUCUUUCCCCCCUUGGUCUCUCCCACUUUCGGAAGUUAAGGAUGAGAUAAAAGUAAUGUCCCCAUUCUCCCUUUUUUUUUUUUCCUUUUAUCCGUUACCAAACAGUACAAGAGCUUGUUUAUAAAUAAAUGAGUUCAUAAAGAGUCAUUUUAAACAUUUGGAAUAAACGUGAGUUGCUGUUUAGUUCUGUUUUCAAUGUUCACCGUUCAAUUGUGAUCCAGAGCAAUAUAACUACACUCACUGGGAAUUUUAAUUAUGAACCAAGAACGAAGUUGAACCGAGAAUUUGAUACUUUAUAUAUUCCAGUUACCAUAUUUAAGAAAGAGUAUUGAAAAGAAAGACGCUAACAGAGAAUAUUGAAGUUAAACACAUACCAUAUCUAGUAUUAAGUCUGUAUGCCAAAGUUACAAAUUCGAAGAUCAGAUUCCUCAUUUCAAUUUAUGUUCUGCUCAAAACAAUGGCUCUUAUUCCACAAGCACAAAGAAGAAAGAGUGCGCACAAAGUUAACAGAGACACGCAGUGAAAAUUACGCUAAUUGGUUGCAGCAGCAUCAUCCAGGAACUUCACUUUAAUCUUCUUGAGCUUUGCUGCAGCGUCUGUCAUAUUUAUCCUCAUGUCGGGUGACUCCAUACAACAAUCCAAUGCCAAAUCCAUUAUGCUUAAUAUACAAUCCAUUUUGGCAGAAAAAGCUUGCUCUUCUCGCACCAAAUUUGCGUCAACAACUUCAAUCAAUCCGUGAGAUAAAGACUCCUUUACCCAUCUCCUUAAACUCAUUUCUCCUGUGAACAUUUCAUCGGUGGGCCUCUUUCUCGUGAAGGUUUCCAUCAAUAAAACACCAUAGCUGUAGACAUCACAUUUAGUUGAAACAAUUCCUUCAGAUCCAUACUCUGCAUUUUUUAAUUUUAAUUAUGAAACAAAUGAUAAAACAAAUAAUUUUUUGAUAAUUAAGGUAACCCAAACUUUGCUCGUGCUUGAAAAAAGAGAAAAAAAUUUAAUUACAAUUGAAGCUUUACCUGGUGCCAUAUAACCAAUUGUAGCCAUUGUCAUGGUUUGUGUCUCAGAAUCUUCUCCUUCACCUAAGAGUUUGGAAAUGCCGAAGUCGCUCACAUGUGCCACCAUAUUUUCAUCCAAGAGAAUGUUGGUGGGCUUCAAAUCACAAUGAAUUAUAGGUGCCGACGAAUGACCAUGAUGGAGAUAUUCAAGAGCCGACCCCACAUCUAUCAUUAUAUUCAACCUCUCUAGAAUGUCUAAGAAAUAGUUGUGAGAAUACAACCACUUCUCGAGACUACCAUUCGGCAUGAACUCAAGUACCAAUGCUUUGAAAUCUGGAUUAGAACAACUGCUAAGGAUCUUUAUGAGAUUUCGAUGACGAACAUUCCGUAAAACUUCACAUUCAGAAUCAAAACUCCUAAAUGCUCUCUCGAAUUGCAGAUUGAAAAUCUUUAUUGCAACAUUAGUCCCGUCGGAAAUGGUUCCUUUAUAAACUGAUCCAAAACUACCUGUACCAAGCAAGUUACAUUCAUUAAAUUUAUCAGUUGCUCGUUGAAUGUCUAGGUACGGUGUUCUUCUCCAUUUUGCAAGAGGUAGAAAAUCUUCGUGAUCCAAAUGCUUUGUACUCCUAUUCCGGCAUCUUUUGUACAUAAUGAUGGUAAUCACUAUAAGUACAGAGGAUACUAUCGGAGGCAAAAUAUAUUUAAGGACAAUUAGAGCAACUUUCUUGGUUCUUUUGCUGUUACCUUGUUUGCAAAGUGGGACUCGGAGUUUAGGUGGACCACAGAGUGCAUAAUUUCCGAAAAAUGAUUCAGCUGAGAAGUUUUUAAAAGACCUUUUAACAAGAAUUUCCCCUUCUAGCCUAUUAUGAGACACAUUAAAUUGUUUGAGAUGUGAAAGUGUCUCCAAUGACUUAGGAAUUUUUCCAGAGAAAUUGUUGCCGGAGAGAUCUAAGGAUUCUAAGCUUAUCAAACUGCCAACUGAUUCAGGGAUAGGUCCUUGAAAUUGAUUACUAGCCAAGGAUAGAGUUUCUAGAUCUACGAGAGCACCAAUGGUUGAUGGAAUAUUACCUGAUAAUUGAUUCCUUGACAAAUCUAAAACUCUCAAGACCUUUAACUUUUGUACAUUGGAAGGGAGAGAAUCAUUUAAUGAAUUUGACGACAAGUUUAUCUCUAAGAUGUACUCAAGGCUCCACAAGGAUGACGGUAUACUAGAAGUGAGCUUGUUGGAGCCUAAGCGGAGUUCUCUUAGAGAUGUCAAACUCGCCAAGCAUGGCGGUAUAUGUCCAGAGAGCUUAUUUCCAUUUAACCUUAUUCCGUACAUCAACUCCAAGUGGCAAAGAUCAUAGGGAAUGGAUCCUUCCAAAUUAUUUUCUUCAAGAGAUAAACCUUGUAGCCGCUGUAAUGUUCCUACAGAUGUUGGAAUAGUUCCAUCCAAGUCAUUGAAGUCGAGGGUUAAGAGGAUCAAGCCACGUAAAUUACCAAUUUCUUUAGGAAUGCUGCCCCCGAGUUUGCAAUCGGAAGCAUAAAAGCUUUGAAGAGAAGCAGAGAAAUUUCCAAUUAAUGGUGGAAGGAUGCCACCUAAUGGAUUAGAAGCUAAGACUAAAUAGGAUAGCUUUCUACAAUUAGUCAAAGAAGAGAGAAAACUCCACUGAUCUGCUGAAGAUGAUUCUGUCGUCAAGUUAUUCCCUGCUACGCUGAGCACGUUGAGGUGCCUCAAGUUGCCAAAUGUAUUUGGUAUAUGGCCUGAGAAUGAGUUAGAGCCCAAGUCUAGACCAAUGAGUUUGGAAGCAUUGGUAAUAGAGUUGGGAAUUGUCCCGAUAAGAUUAUUGAUCGACAAAGUUAAAUACUCUGUGUUCGGAAGCGAGUGGCCUAUCGUUGAUGGUAGGCGGCCUGAUAGUUGGUUGCUCUGUAGAUUAAGGACUCUUAUGGUUGAAAUAUUGAAGAUCGCGGGUGGAAUGAGGCCACUUAAAUUAUUCGUACCAAGAGCAAGAAUCUCCAAAUUUUUUAGAUUGCCAAUCUCGGUUGGAAUUUGAUCUGUCAUAUCGAUUAAACCAACAUUGAUGAGUUAUUGAGUUUUUUGCUAAACAUAAAUUUAAUUUCAAAAUUCAUGAAAAUCAAAAUUUCCCACAAAAUAUGUGUUAUUAGUUUAUAAUAAUUUAGGGGGUAAUGAUAUUUCUACCCCAUGAUUUUUGUAAAACACACAUGCUUUUAGAAAAUUAUUACCGCAAGAUCACAUUAUUCUUAAAAAUUCAAAUUAAGAAGAAGUUUCUAGAAUCAAUCAAUUAAAUCCAAAUUAAUUUAUAUUUGAAACUUAUAUUCUUUUAUUAUAUUUAAGUACUAAGGUUGUUUUAACAUAAAUUUAAUUGACUAUUUUACCCUCCUAAGGUAAAAGUACUAAAAUCCUCAAAAAUUUACUUCAACUAAACUAACAAAAUAUAUUUAUGACCUAUGGGGCAUUAAAAAUAUUGAAUUUUAUUUUUAAAAUAUUAUAUUACAAAACAUAAAACUAUAUGCUAGAUACUAUAGUACAUGUUUCUUGGGGUGAUAUAGUCAUUUUACAUUAUAAGGAUGAAAUAGUCAAAUUAAACUUAACUUGAAGCACCCGUAAAUGCCAAAAAUUGUUAAAAGACCUAAGUCAUAAAAGAAAACUAUUAUCAGAAUAAUUUAUUUAGUUAAUUAUCUGACUUAUUGUUAAUUUAUAAUUUUAUAAGAUAUUGUGAACUUAUUGCAAUUAUCUUAUGGAGAUGAGGGGGGGUUUUGCAAGAAUAUGAGCGGCAGUUUUGCCACUCUAUAAAAUAAAAAGAAUUAUGCAGUCAUGCAAAUGCAAAUAUGCUGAACUUACCUUGCAGGUUGUUAUGACGAAGAUCCAAAUCAAAAAGGUUGCUCAAAUUUCCUAUCCCUGAAGGAAUAUUUCCAUCAAUAACGUUGAAACUUGCUUGUAACAUCUCCAAUUUCGAUAAGUUGAAGAGAGAAUUUGGGAUUGGACCCGUGAUAUUGUUAUUACGAAGACUCAUCAUUUGUAAUUUGGAUAAGACACCAAUCCAAGUUGGAAUGCUUCCACUCAAUUUAUUGAAAUUGAAACUAAUGAAUUUGAGUCGGCCUAAUUUCCCCAAUUCAUUAGGUAGAUGGCCAUAAAAAUUGUUCAAAGUAACAUCAAGAGACAUUAGGAAUGAGAGAUUUCCCAAGUGUGGGGGAAUAGUGCCUCCGAGACCCAUGCCUGAAAGAUUUAAAGCCUUGACUCUUUGAUGGCGUGAAUCACAAGAAAUACCAACCCAGCUGCAUAUUGGAUGAGAUAUAGACCAAUUAUUUGCUAGGACACUCCGAUAAUCAACGACAUGGGCUUUGAAUGCAAGAAGAGCUGAUUGAUCUGUUGUCAAAUUGUUUAAAGUCGUCAUAGCUAAGUUAGCUAUGGAAUAUUGUAACAACAUAGGAACAAAGAAGAACGAUAGGCGCAUAUUGGUCGUUUUUAAUAGAUACAGCAACAUAAUUGCUAGGUGAGAUUGAAACAAGUUUGAAGUGAAGGAAAUUAGCAUAUACUUAUACAAGAGACGUAUGAAUUUGAAAACAAGAAAAGAAAAAAUAUACAGGAGACUUGCAAACUGUUAUAUUUUGCCAUUAAGCGAGUCGUCCAAGUAAACGCACGUAUGGACUUGCAAAAUUGUUAAACGUCGCUGUACUUGAACCGUAAACAAAGGGUGUGUUUGGUUGGAGGAUUAAAAGUGGGGAUUAGACACCUUUUUUUUUUUUUUUUAAUUUUAUCCUUAUCUCAUGUUUGGUGCUGUCAAGGGUAUUAGGAUUUAGUUAUCUUGAACUCACAAGCUAAUCUUAAUUUUGUAAAGGAAAUUAUCCCAAGAGGGGUCAUGGGAUUAGUUAGUAUUGGAUUAUAUUGAUAACUCAAUUAAACAUAAUAAUUUAUAAAUAUUAAAAUUAUAGUAAUAUGUGAUAAAUGUAAUAAAAAAAUAUUGAUUUUAAUAAUGUAAAUAAUAAAUUAUACUAAAAAUCAUUAUUAAUUUCACAUUAAAUUAAAAUUCUAUUUUACUUUAUUUAAUUAUUAAAUAUUUUUUAUAAUUCCAAAUUUACAUUAUAAAUUAAUUAUUAAAUUAGUAUUCAAAAAGAUAAUUUUUUAUAAAAUAAUAGAUUAUUGAAUAAAUAUAAUAUAAAUAUCAUAUACAUAUUUAACAAACUAAUAAUUAUUAAAAUUAUGAUUUCUAUUUCAUUAACGUCAUUGAGGUUGAUUUGUAUAAUUAAUAAUGCAAAAUUUUAGUUUAUAAUAAUAUUAAUAAUAAUAAUAACUUGUAAAUUGUAAUAUUAUAAUGUAAAACAUGAUUAUUUAUAGUCCAAUCUAAUAUUGUACCAAACACAAUAUAGUAUUAUAUAUAAUCCACUAUUAUCCAAUCCAAUCCAAUUUUAUCCAAUUUAAUCUAAUCUAAUUCAAUCAAAUCCGGCGGACCAAACCAGCUCAAAGGUUUUAUGGCCCUUUACUUACCAAACAGAAGAAGAUGCUCAACAUUGGCAUCUUUGACCCAAUCCAAAUUUAAUCCAGACAUCUGCGGAUCAGAUGCAGAUUUGACCCAAUCUAUAUCCAAUCCACCAUUUUACGGAUUGGUUUGCAGACUGAAAAUUUUUAAUUCUGUCAAAUCCACGAACUAACUAAAUAAAAAAAAUUUAAUAUAAAAAUAAAUUUACUAUGAAUCAAAUUUAAAAUUAAAUAAGAUUUAAAUAAAUUAAUUGCUUAAAUAGAGCUAAAAAUACAUUUAAAGUUUCAAAAUAUAGCACACCAAAAUAAAAAUAAAAAAAUCAUUCGUUUAGAUCAAUACAUGGAAAUUAACUAUUUAGUAAACUAUAUUUGUUUAUUUAAUUAUUUUUUUAUAUUAUUAACGGAUAAGAUAUAAUAUAAUGUUAAUGUAACUAUAUUUUAACUUAUUUAUUUACUUAUAAGUACUAAUGCCAUAUUUACAAGUUUUAUUUUUAAUUAAAUAAAUACUUCUUAUUUUUUUGCGGAUUCGUGGAAUUUUACGGAUUUACAGAAGUAGAUCCAUAUCCAAUCCACUGAUUGCGGAUUAUUAAAUUUUCAAUUCAAUCUAAUCCAAUCCACCAAUCCACGGAUCAGACGGAUUGAGCGGAUCGAAUUGGAUUAUGAAAACCCCUCGGUUUUGGUGUCCAUUGUUGAAAACUUGGAAGUCUAUAUGACCAUUUAACCAAACUCUAGGGGUACAACUAUCACAAAGUUCUAAAAAUAAAUUUUACCCAACAUUUAAAUGAUUUUUUUUCACAGUUGAUUAUUAAAUUCUAAGUGUUUGGCUACUGUAAGAAUACAAAUAAUUGACAUAGACAUAAUAUUAAAUAAAAUUUACUUAUAUAUUUAUAUAAAUGUAUGUAUGUGUGUGUGUGUAUAUAUAUAUAUAUAUAUAUAUAUAUAGUUUAUUGUUUGUAUAUAAAAAUUGCUAACUAAAAAAUAUUUAUAUUUUAUCAAUUUUAUUUCUUUUAUUGUUUAUCUCAAUAUAAAUGUAAUAAUAAUAAUUUCUCUAAAUUUAAUUAUUUUUGCUCUUUAUUGAAUAAGGAUAAUUUUGAGUUUCUGUAAUAUAUGUGAGGAUAUAUACAAAAUUGUAUUAAAUAUAAAACUAUUGUCAAAAUUAAAUUUUAAAAAACUAUUCCUUUCUCACUUUUCAUUAGGCAAAUGGCCACAGAAAUUAUUCUCCCUAAUGUCCAAAUAAACUAAAAACGAGAGAUUUCGUAAGUGUGGAGGGAUGAUGCCUUCCAAACCCAUCACUGAAAGAUUCAAGUUUGUGACUGUUAUGGUAUGAGCAUCACAACAUAUGCCAAUUCGACUGCAUACUGAGUAAGACAUGGACCAAUUAUUCAAGAGAUUCAUGAGCCUUCGAAGUGAGAAAUAAAGCAAAUUAGGUGGUGGUGGGUCAAUUGACUACGUUUCGUGAUCUACAAGCGAUUGCAACAGUCGGUUCAUUAAGUGAAAUUAAUGACUCGUCCACUUUAGUAAUAUACCGUCCUCUUUAGGAUGGUGCUGGGUCAAUUUUAUCUCAUUUUCGUUGAUUACGAGUUGUGAUCGAUGACAUCACGAAAGUAGUCAAUUUACAGCUCAUUCACUAUAUAUAGUCUAUGGGUGGAUGGAUCUAACGUAAAUUAAGGGCUGAUGACCCUCGACUUCUAACGACAACCAACGAAGACGACCUUGACUUACAUGUAAACACACAAUUCGCUCUCAUACAUUAUGUUUUAAAAUUUCUCCAUUUUCCGGGGCCCCGCUGUCGACCGUACACAGUUUAAUUUGUAUAUACAAGACCUCAUUGCUUCUAACAAGCAUAGAGCCAUAGACCAUAUUAAUUCCAAUUACUUAAAUCUUCAUUUUUAUCAUGAUUUUGGAUCUCGAGCAAUGUGGAUAUAUCCAACCAGAUCCACCUCACUGGCAUCCCAAUAGAUUUUAAAUUGAGUAAUGAGUAUCAAUAAACGUGUAAUUGUAAAUCUACAACGUUUAAUUUUAAUUUGAGGAUUCAAAUGAAUUAUUCCAGCAGUACCUCGUUAAAUUAAUAUUCCAUAAAUUUUUAACUUUAAUUAAAUAACAAAUUUUGUCCGUCCCAACUUAAGAUUAACGUGGUAAUUAAUAAUUUGAUAAAUUAUUAGAUAAUAAUUUUUUAAAAAUCUUAUUUUUUUUAUUGGAUCCAACUGAUAUAUAAAUUAAUAAUUAAUUAAUUUUAAAACUAAAUUCAUGUUAUGUCAAUCAAAUGUUAUUGCAAAGAAGACUAGUAGUGACGCUUUGAAAGGUAGAGCUGGCAAAAUUUGACACGACUUGAUUACCCGACACGAACACGACAUAAAUAAAUGGGUAUGGGUCGUCAAAUUUAACACGAUUAUUAAAUGGGUCGGGUCCGGGUCAACACGAUUUUUUUCCGUGUCGGGUUAGGAUUAAAAUUCUUGACCCAUUUACCCGAUCAAUGACCCGAUUAUAUUUUCUAUUUUAAAAUAAUUUACAUAUUCUUAUAAUUACAACUCAAAUAUUAGAGAUGAUUUUCUUUUUUUUUAAUUCUUUAAAAGGGUGAAUAUAAACACAGUGUUUUAUUUAUAAAAUUUUACAUACAUUUAGAGUUUCAAUAGUGUAAAUGUGUAAAAAUUGAUAGACAUGUAUAUUUUAUAAUAUUGAUAUAUAAUAUUAUAUAUAUAUAUAUAUAUAUAUAUAUAUAUAUAUAUAUAUAUAAUUAAAACCUCAAUAGUGUAAAUGUGUAAUAUAUUGGUAGAUAUGUAUAUUUUAUAAUAUCGAUAAAUUAUGUAUGUAUGUAUGUAUGUAUGAUAGUGUGUAAAUAUUUGAUGUAACUUUUGUUCAAUAUAUAGAUAUUAAACGGGUUAUUAGGUAACCUGAUUAUUUUCCGUGUCGGGUUUGGGUCUUAAUAUUUUGACACGAUUAUUAAAUGGGUCGGGUUUGGGUCGACUUAAAUUUGAUACGACACGAAGCUGACACGACACGAACACGACCCGAUGACCCGUUUUGCCAGCUCUAUUGAGGUACACCAAAGCCUUUUUCACCAUUUCAACGUCAUGACAUGAUGUAAGUUUCUUUUGUGGAAUUUGUGAAUUGGUGCUGCAGAAGUUAAUGAUACAUGUAACCAGCCAACCCUUGUCAAGUCCGCUUGACUCUUAAAUUUUUGUCACUUUCACUCCGUUCAAAGGCAUGUGAAAGCUAAUUUUUAAUGAAUUUUGAAUUGAGUGUUGGAUAUUUUGGGCUUAUCAAAACUAGAUUAUAUAUAUUUUUAAUGAAUUUUAGAUUCAGUGUUAGAUAUUUUGGGUCUUAUCUUUAAGUAAUCUUUUACACGCAUACAUUUAUAUCAUUGUAUGGUUAUAGAUUCAAUUACUUUUAUGACGCAUUUACUAAACUCGAAUUGAAAUAAGUAAGAAUGAGAAUGUGCUGCAAUGAGAAUGGAGAACCGAAAUUAGAAUAAGUUAUUUACUUGUAAUAUAGGAAUCAGAAUGAUCUGAAUUGCCAUUAAUGUGUUUACUUUUUCUUAGAAUUAGAAUUGAAAUAAGUUAGAUUGUAAUAAAUUACUAAAAACUAUUUAAUGAACUAUUGUAAUAAUUAUUAUUUUGUAUUUUAAUUAUUGUGAUUAUUUAUUAAAAAUUAUUAUUAUUAUAUUGUUAAUAGGAUAUUAAUAUAUUAAUAAAUUAUAAUAAUAUAUUAAAAAAUACACUUGUAUUUACAAGAAAUGACGGAUACAAUUUUAAAAUCGUCUUCCUCCCUAAAAGUCUGAUUGCCACAGCCCUAAAAAUUAAUAAGAUUGGGGAAUUAUGUGUUUUUUAAAAAAUAUUAAAGGGUGUUCAUUUCCUUAAACGGUGGGGGCUAAAAGUCCUUUUCCCAAAAGAGUACUGUGCCAGUGUUGGUGGCUAGAAGGAAAAAUCGUUACAUUGCUCCAGAAGUGCUUGAUAGAAAUUUCGGUGAGGCGUCACAUAAUUUAAAGGCUAUGUUUUUUUUUUUUUUAUAAUCCACCAAGAAGGUGGGGUUAGGCCGGACUCCUACGUAUAAAUAAAUCAAUCAAUGAAAGAACAUAAGGAGGGGGACAUAAACCAAACCUCCCAGGAAAAGUAAAUAAUUUAGUAAUCAAAUAAAAUCAAUACAAAUCAAGGUGAUUAAUGCCGAAUGUAUGGAAUUCCAAGAGUAUCCAAAUGAAGAAUGCCUGAUAAACCGCUUGGAAGAUCACUAGCAUUGAAAAAUCGUUGACAAGUCUGAUGGGUACAAGCCUAAUUGGCCAUAAAGUCAACAGCAGAUGUAGCUUCUCGAAAAACAUGCCUGAUACUAAUGGAUGACCUAGAAGCCAAUGUCCAAACACACCCAAGGAUGUAAGUAAAAUCCCAUCGCACGAAACUACUUGAAAUGGCCUAAGAAACUACAGUGGCUGAAUCAGAUUCUACCUCAAGAUCAGAAAAACCAAGCUGAGUAGCAAGAUCUAAACCUUCUAACACAACCAUUAAUUCAACAAAAAGAAUAGAUUGGUGUCCCAAAAAGGAACCAAAAGCAGCUAAUAUCAUGCCUUGAUGAUCUCGCAAAACACCACCAGUAGCAGCCAUGCCUGAGUUUCCCCUAGAACAACCAUCCACACUCAACUUCACCACCCUCGGUGGCGGUUUCAUGUUGGAGCACAAAUCUCAACCACACACGCAAAGUGAUAAAUAAUAAAAAACUUAUUAUAACUUUGAUCGUAUGGUUAUGAAGGGAUGCUCUACCUUAGAGAAACUCCAACAUAGCCAAACCUUAAUUUAAAUUACUGGAAUUAGCUAUGCACACACACAAGCAGUUCGAGCAGGAUAAUGAAUUUAAAUUACUCGGAAUUGUAAGCAGAGAUGAAAGAGAAAUUACAAAGAAGAUGAUUAUUUUUCGCUUGUGGUGUAUAUAGAAUCGUCUAUCGGAAAUAGAGGGAGAGAAAUGUUACUGCACAGAAGCAGACUAGCAGUGACGCCUUGAAUAAGUCCGCCAAAGCCUCUUGCAUCUUCUCCUCCAACACCGCCAAUAGAGUCCGUUUGACUCAUAAAUUUUUGUCGCUUUCAUUCUUUUCAAAAGCACGUGAAAACUAGCUUAUAGGAUUUUGGAUGGACAAUCACUCUUUUCAAAAGCAUGUUAAAGCUAAUCUUCAAUGAAUUUUAGGGCUUAUUUUUAAGUAAUCUUUUAGCAUGCAUGCAUUUAUGCAAUCAUGUGAUUAUAUAUUCAAUUACUUUUAAAGUAGAAAAAAUUACUUCUCUUAAAAGCAACAGCGGGGCACGUAUUGCAAUUUGUAGUAGUUAAUUCUUGGAUGAAAUUUACUAAAGUAUAGUCUUGUAAAAGAAUUAGUUUUCUUAAAUUGUAAUCUCGUUUAUGAUUGGGAGAUUUUGAUCAAAAUUAAUAUGAUAAAUUCGUUGCAAGUGUUGUUCUUGAAGUCUCAUCUUCCGUGAUGUUUGUAAAAUCAAGGUUUUACCAUCUCUGAUUAAAUAUUUAGUCUUGAUUUCGGCCACGUAAUCUGGACUUGACGAAAGAUUAUGAUCUUAUGUGAUUUUAUGAAUGUGGUCUUACCUCUUAUAAGUCAGCAAUGAAUUAAUUAAAGCUUGCUGACAAAUUAUAAGCUCAAAAACCGCUGCUGCUUCAUUAAUCAUAUUACCCAAAUUCAUUGCAGAACUCAUCAUAAGUUUUCCGAGAAUUUUAAGCUUUAUUUUGGCUUCAUUCAUGUACUCCCUUUGUAGAUCCCAAAGACAUGUUUAACUUUAGUUUAGGGUAACAAAGCUACAGCUUUUUCUGCUGUGUGCAACAAGCGAAGAAAGUGAAAUUGUAAAGAAUACGAUCGAUUACUGAUACGAAAACAUAAAGAUUGAUAAUUUUUAGAGAAAUAAAGCUCCUAAAUAAUUAGAAUAUUAUUCAUAAGUCUUAAUAAAUAAAACUAGAAUUUUGGUUCUUUUUACACCAACCCUAAAUAUCUUGAAUUUAUUAAAAUAGGAAAACGAGAAAUAUUUUUUUGUAGUAAAAUUCUCUAGUCUAAAUAAGCAAAAUUUUAAUGUCUGAAGAAAAAAGAAGUAAAAAUUCUGAAAGCAAUUAAAAAAAAAAAGCAAAAUAACUUAAAAUUGCAAAAUAAUCAAGAAAGAAACGGAACUUUUGGCUCAAAUACAGGGUAGAACAACUUAAACAAUUUUUAUAUUUUAGUUUAUCUUAUCGCAAGUUUUGAAAAGAUGUAUUAUAAGUUCUAAACAAACAGCUAUCCCUACAAAGUACCAUGGUCAUUCAAUGUAACUACCCUACAUCAAUUAUUGUUGGUUUGUGGUGUAUCCAGACCUUUCCAUCGGAUGGGCUGUCCACGAAUACAGUGAUAGAAAUGUUAUUGCAAAGAAAAAUACUAGCAGUGACGUUUUGAAAAUUCCACCAAAGUCUUUUGCAUCUUCUCCUCCAGGACCGCCAAUAGAGUAUAGAGUACGUUUGACUCAUAAAUUUUUGUCACUUUCACUCUUUUCAAAAGGACGGGAAAGCUUAUCGAACGGACCACCAAUCUUUAAUGAAUUUUGGAUUCAGUGUUGAUAUUUUGGGCUUAUCAAAGCUAGAGUCCGUUCGACCCAUAAAUUUUUGUCACUUUCACUCUUUUCAAAAGCAUGUUAAAGCAGACCUUCAGUGAAUUUUUUAUUCGCGUACCUUUAAGUAAUCUGUGCAUUUAUAUAAUUAUGCGGUUAUAGAUUCAAUUACUACUUCUCUUGAAAGUGAAAGCAGGGCAGAUAUUGUAACGCAGCUGCUAUUGGUAGCAAUUAAUUCUUGGAUGAAAUUUACUAAAGUAUAGCCUUGUUAAAGAACUAGUUUUCUUAAAUUGUAAAUGGUCCCCUUUAUGAUGGGGAAAUUUUGAUCAAAUCUGAAAGAAAGCUUGAAAAAUAUAUUGAAACUAUAAUGAAAUUUUAUGUUUGAUUUAUAUUACAAAUGUGGGUCCAGCUAUGUUACCUAGAGUUGGCAAAACGGGUCAUCGGGUCGUGUUCGUAUCGUGUCAAAUUUAGGUCGAUCCAAACCCGACCCAUUUAAUAAUCGUGUCAAAAUAUUAAGACCCAAACCCGACACGGAAAAUAAUCGGGUUACCCAAUAACCCGUUUAAUAUCUAUAUAUUGAACAAAAGUUACAUCAAAUAUUUACACACUAUCAUACAUACGUAUGUACAUACACAUAUACAUACAUACAUACAUACAUACAUACAUAAUUUAUCGAUAUUAUAAAAUAUACAUAUCUACCAAUAUAUUACACAUUUACACUAUUGAGGUUUUAAUUAUAUAUAUAUAUAUAUAUAUAUAAUAUUAUAUAUCAAUAUUAUAAAAUAUACAUGUCUAUCAAUUUUUACACAUUUACACUAUUGAAACUCUAAAUGUAUGUAAAAUUUUAUAAAUAAAACACUGUGUUUAUAUUCACCCUUUUAAAGAAUAAAAAAAAGAAAAUCAUCUCUAAUAUUUGAGUUGUAAUUAUAAGAAUAUGUAAGUUAUUUUAAAAUAGAAAAUAUAAUCGGGUCAUUGAUCGGGUAAAUGGGUUAAGAAUUUUAACCCUAACCCGACACAGAAAAAAAUUGUGUUGACCCGGACCCGACCCAUUUAAUAAUUGUGUUAAAUUUGACGACCCAUACCCAUUUAUUUAUGUCGUGUUCGUGUCGGGUAAUCGGGUCGUGUUAAAUUUUGCCAGCUCUAAUUGCACACUUAACUAAAUUAACUAAAUUGACUUUUGUUAUUCCACCCCAACAUUUAAAUAGUCAUUAGCACACAUUUAAAGUAUUUCAUUAACUUAGUUAAAGAAGGGUAAAAAAAAAAAAAUCUAAACAAUUACUCUAUUUGAAAAUAAUUUAAAUAUUUCUUUAUUAGUUUUUUGUAACUAAAAAGAAGAGUAAUAAUUUUAUUUUAUUAUUUUGUUUCUAUAUUGUAAAUAAUUUUAAUUAUCUUUUAAUAUUAAUCAUUUUAGGAAAAGUAAAUAAAAAAUAAGAUUUUUUUAUGUAAAACACAUUAAUUAGUUUUUCAUAUUAUAAAAUGCAUAGUGAUUUAUAAUAAAAAUUAAAUAUGCAUGUUUACCCUUACAAUAUAUAUUUAUAGCCUCCUGAUUACAUUCUUGUCGGAUUAAUGGUUAAGUGCUAGAAAACAGAACCAUGGCCAUGACCAAUUUUUUUUUUUUUAGUUUGGUAGUGAAAUUGAUUUUUUUCCUUCAAUUCGAACAAUUUAUGCAUUCUCUUCUCUACAUAUCUUGCAAUAAAAAAAGAAAAAAACUUACAUUGUCUAAAUUGACAAGUCUAUGAUGUCGGAGUAUUGUAUUCAUGUCGGCAUCUUUGAAGUGCUUCUGAAAUAGAUUGUGGCUUCCAAAAACAUCAAUAUAAUUGAAAAUUUUUAGGUGCAGGACUAAUGUGUGAAAAUAUAGAAGUCUUUAGCUUUUUUGUUCUUUAAACAAAUAAAUGGACUCCAUUACAAUUAACCUUGAAAAAGACAAAAAAAAAAAGGGGUACUAAACCCAUGUGGCAACGUAGUUUUGGCCUUGAAGAUAAUAUAGAAGAAGAUCAGAGUUUAUAUAAAUUGAGAUUCUUUUUGGCACUUAGAUUUUUAUUUAAAAAAUAUUGUUUGUGUUAUUAUUAAGAGGAAAAAUAUAAAUAAAUGAAUCUAAGUCUUAUAAUAUUAUAGUUGCUAUGUGUCAUAAUCAUAUUAAAAGGUUUGAAAAAAUUAGAUUAGGUGAGGAUUCAAUUCCUCCUUGAAGACCGCUAAUAGAAUUGGUUUCACUCAUAAAUUUUUGUCACUUUCACUCUUUUCAAAGGUGCGUGAAAACUAGGUUAUAGAAUUUUGGAUGGACGAUCACUCUUUAUCAAAGGACUACCAGUCUUUAAUGAAUUUUGGAUUCAGUGUUGAUAUUUUGGGCUCAUCAAAGCUAGACUAUAGAUUUUUUUUUUUUUAAGAAUUUUGAAUUCAAUGUUGAUAUCUUGAGCUUAUCUUUAACUAAUUUUUUACCACCCGUGCAUUUAUGUUAUUGUACGGUUAUAGAUUCAGUUAUUUUUAAAGUAGAAAAAUUACUUCUCUUAAAAGUGAAAGCAGGGAAUGCAGACGCUAUUUGUUGUAGUUAAUUCUUGGAUGAAUGUUAGAGUAUAAUUUAUACACUAGUUUUGCAUUGUUUAUUUCUCUUAAUAUCGAUAUUUUGCAUUUAAUAAUAGUGAUUUACUUGUAUUUUACUUUUGUAGGUGUAAUUCUAUUGAUUGGUGAUAAAAUUGAGCUACAAGAUGAUAUUUUAGGGUGAUUGUUUUCUUAGAGAAAGUAUGAGCCUCAGAAGAACUUUGUUGAUAAGGCGUGAGCGCGUGCUGUCAACUACGGACCUGCAGUUUUUAGUUUAACGUGUUUUGUAUUUUUGGUUAUUUUUGUAAUUACGAAUUUAAUAUUUCAAAUAUUAGUAUUUUAUUUUAAAUAGAAUUCUAGAGGAGAAGAGAGAGAGAGUAUUUAAGGGAGGAAUCUAUAUUGAAAAAGGGGGGACUGGAGAAAAAGAAAGAAACCCUAGAUCUAAACUUUUCUCUUCUCUCUAUGAAGAACUAAACCUAUUUUUCUGGUUGAAGGUUAAUGAAGCUUUGAUUCAUCACUACUGUGAGAUCUUUCUUAUGCUUUAAUUGUUUUAUUGCUUUUUGGGUAUUUGUUUAUUCUCUGAAUUAUUUUCAUGAUUAUGUUUGUUAAUUAGGUAAUUGGCCACUAUUUAAUUAUCAACUUAAUCUAUUGUCAAUUAAAGGAUUCAUCGUAUGAAGAUUUUAAUGUUUGUGACAAAUAACAUAGCAGAGAGUUGUGUUGUGAGAAUAAACAAUCUAAUUUAAAUGAACUAUCGUAUGUGUUUGUUGAUUAGGAUUUGGGUCUCUCUGGUUUUUCAGGCUGUCAAUUGAUUAAAUCUUAUGAUCGUAUCUAGGGUUGUCUAUUGAUUAGGGAAAUAACCAACGGUUAUACCUUGGUUAUCGACUAGUUAAGGAGAGAUUGGCUAUUAGAGGGUCUCAGUAGCUAUAACCGAUCUAUUCAUAAGUAAUAAUAAUUUAUAUUUGAAUCAAUGAUCAGUAGUCGAAUCAAGCUGAGUUAAUUCCUUCAACCAUAGCUUUCUCCAAUUUGAAUUACAACUUUAAUUUGCAUUCUUGUUAUUUUAAUUUAAUUUUUAUUACUGUCAACAAAACCCCCAUUUUAUGUUUUACGUUUUAAAAGGAUUUAAAUAAUUACCGAUCUCUGUGGACACGAUCCUGCUCAAUCACUAUACACAAUUUGUUUAGAGUAGGUAUUUAUUUUCGUUGGCUUCGACAACCAUCAAUGAAAUUUGGGUCUUGCUAUAAUACAUGCAUGUAUCACAUACAUGCGAGGAAUAAAAAAAUUAAAAAAAACAUUGCCAAACAUUUGAAAAAAAAAACUGGAGCAACCGGUAAAGAGCAACAGGUUGUGCCUUAAACAAUUAAAAAAUUAUGAAACAAUAUAAUAAAUAAAUAUAAUAAACAAAAUAAUAAUAAAAUAAUAAUAAUUUAAUAAUAAAGGCUAGAUAACUAUAAAAAAAUAGUUUCAAAUUUAAUGGUAUCAGUAUCAAGUUAACGAUAGGUGUUUCGUGUUUAUUGGUCUACUAAUUGCAUGAUUUUCAAGGUUGCAAGUGAAUGAUCCCAAGUUCCAUGUUCAUUGCCCUCAGUUUCAAGUUCUUUUAGUUUCAAGUUUAAUGGUCCCAGUAUCAAGUUAACGAUAGGUGUUUCAUAUUUAUUGGUUCAUUAAUUGCAUGAUUUUCAGGAUUACAAGUUAAUUAUUCCAAGUUUCAUGUUCAUUGCUCUUAGUUUCAAGUUCCUUUGGUUUCAAGUUUAAUGAUCUCAGUAUCAAGUCAAAAGUAAGUGUUUCGUUUUUAUUAGUCCAUUAUUUGGAAGAUUUUUAGGGUUGCAAGUUAAUGAUCUAUGGUUUCAAGUUAAUGAUCCUAUAUUUCAUAUUCAAUGCCUUAAGUUUCAAGUUACUCUUGUUUCAAGUUUAAUGGUCCUAAUUUCAAAAUUAAUGAUAGGUGUUUCAUAUUUAUUGGUUAUAGAAGAUUUUCAGAAUUACAAGUUAAUGAUCCUAUGUUUCAUGUUCAUUGCCCUAUGUUUCAAGUUACUUUGAUUUCAAGAUUAAUGGUAGGUAUUUCAUAUUUAUUAGUCCAUCAUUUGGAAGAUUUUCAAGGUUGCAAGUUAAUGAUUUCUAGUUUCAAGUUAAUGAUGGUAUAUUUCAUGUUCGUUUUCAUAAGUUUCAAGUUACUUUAGUUCAAAUUUAAUGGUUUCAAUUUCAAAAUUAAUGGUGGGUGUUUCAUAUUUAUUGGUCCAUUAUUUGGAAGAUUUUCAAAGUUGUAAGUUAAUGAUCUUUGGUUUCAAGUUAAUGAUCUUAUGUUUCAUGUUCAUUACCCUAAGUUUCAAGUUACAUUGGUUUCAAAUUUAAUGGUCUUGGUUUUAAGAUUAAUGAUAGGUGUUUAUAUAUUUGUUGGUCUAUUAUUUGCAAAAAUUUUAGGGUUGUAAGUUAAUGAUCCUAUUUUUCAUUCUCAUUGCCCUACGUUUCAAGUUACUUUGAUUUUAUAUUUAAUGGUCCAAAUUUUAAGAUUAAUGAUAUGUGUUUCAUAUUUAUUGGUCUACGAUUUGUAUAUUUUUAGGAUUGCAAGUUAAUGAUUCUAAGUUUCAUGUUUAUUGCGCUAAGUUCCAUGUUAUUUUGGUUUUAGCUUAAUGUCUUAAUCUCAAGAUUAAUGGUAUGCAUUUCAUAUUUAUUGGUUUAUGAAAUGACAUGCAUUCUAUCAUGAAAUUUAUGAUAGUUUUUUCAAAUCACAUAUUUGUCACACCACAAUUUCGUGAUUACUUGAAUUUCUUGCAGGCUUUUAAAUUUUUCAUGGGAAAUUUAAAAUUUUCAGUGAAUUUAAAUUUAGUUUUGAUAGGAAAAUUGAAUUGGAAUAUGAGACAUUUUAUGACUGAUACUUACUAUCACAAAUUUUGAUUUUUUUAAAUUUAAAUAAUUUUAUUUCCUAUUUUUGACAUUUAAAUCAUAAAACCACUAUGAAAGAAAAUAAACCUGUAUAUUCAAUUAAAUCAGAAAAUAGAUAACUUAAUAUCAAUUAAAAUCCAAAGUACAGCCAAAUAUCGAGCAAUCAAGUUACGUUAGUUUCAUGUUUAAUAGUCCCAACGUCAAGAUUAAUGGUUGCAUUUCCAAAUAAUUAGGAACAACUCAAGUGUGCAAUAAGAGAUUUCAUGUUCAAUGACUAACAUGGUCUUUAAUGUAAGUAAUUUAAGAUUAUCAUUAGUUUCAUUUUUAAUGUUCAGAUUUCAUAUUCAUCGGAAUGUUAUUAUAGAGAUGAUUUAAAUAUAAAUAUAGCAACAAAUAUUGUAAUUGGUACAAUAUCAGAAUGAAUUACAUAGGUAAGGCAUGUGUAUAUGAUGACCAAUCGAAGGAAGAACAAGGACUCUGUAUGACUGUAUGGUAGAGUUAAAAGAGAAAAUAUGACAUACUCUAAUACGCUCGUUAGUGACUUAUAUUAGUCUUUCACCUAAUGCUGUAAUAUGUUCAAUAGAGACUUGGUGUUUGUUUUAUAAUGUACUUAUCAUUUAAGUUUAAUAUUAUGUAUUAAAAUUAUUUAUGUGUAGUUUGAAAUUCUAGCUAAGCAACCCAAGAGCGGAGUGAAUUGAGUAUGCAAAAAAUUGGAUAAUAAUAUCACAAAACAAUUCUAGCAAAUAGUUUAAAGAAUUCAAUAACAAUAAAUACAACAAUGAAUAAACUUGCAAAGAUAAAGAGAAAGAGAAUAAAUAUAAGAUUUUUAUGUGGUUCGGCAAACCUCGCCCACGUCCAUGCCUUCAAGUAAAUUGAGGUUGAGGAUUUCACUAUCCAAACCUCACAAUCUAAGGUUUCAAGAUAUUUAUAAUUGACUUCCAAAAUGUCAAAAAAUCUUUACAAGUUCAGAUGAACAUUUACCUCUUUUCUCAAGUUAUCGUUAUGACUAAAUUUGAAAAUAUUGCACAAAUGGAUCGCUGCUUGGAAAUUUUCAAAUAUUGUAUUUCAAUCCUACAUACUCACCCAAUCAUAGUCAGUUUACCGCUUGAAGUUAAUGGUUCACCGUUUGAAUUCCAAAAACCUAAUUUAGCCAAAAACAUUAUGAAACUCGAUCAGGCCUAUUUACAAUUUACAAAGUGUAAUUUUUCUACUUUGCGUCAUUAAUAAACGUAAACUUUUGAGAAUGUCAAAAGGGUGGUUUAGAUUUAUCAUUGCUUGUUAAAAGCAUCGAUUUUCAAUCAAAUAGGUAUCAAUCUUCCACCAUUGAUAAUUUAAUUACAUUUAAGGAUAAAAUAAUCACCUUUUGCUAAAAAUCUCUAACAUUGUUGCAAAGGAAAAAAAAAUGAAAAUUGAUAUGAUUUGUAAAUUUCAAGUAGACUGUUAAAUUCAAUUCUUGUAGGCUUUUUGAGAUUGCAGAAAACAGCAGGUUGACAAUUCAUAAUUUUCCAAUAGAAUUUAUUUUUUUUCCAACUUUGACAAAUGUUAUUUUUUUAUCAACUAAUGAGAAACAAGAAAUGAAAUGCUUCAUAUGAGAAUCAACUUUCUCUAACGAUUUAAAUUUCUCAUGAUUCUCUUAACAAUUUAAAUUUAUAGGAGACUACAUGAAAUACAUUGCUGGGAAGGAGGCAUGGGGAUUGAUUUUCACUGUUCUUCAUCACUAUCAUCGCCAAACACUGAGGCAACAGCUAGUUUUGGCUUUCUCUGCAGCACUUCCAGUUGCGUUCUGCACAAGAAGCAAAGAAAAUCAGAAGAUAGUUGUCAGUUCUAUUCACCAAAAUUGCUUUUAAUGGGUAAGUGCAUCACAAGAAGCAAGAAAGUUAAUACAUGAUUGAAAGAAAUAAUAUCCCUAAGAAAAUCGUGAGCAUCAUCUUUUAGCGUAUAUUAAUCCAGGUUGCCCCGGAAAAGAAUAUCCAAUCAUCAAACAGCCUUUUGCAUUAUCUAUCAGCUAUACCUAUUCUGGCGAUUCUGUAUAAACCAAAUUUAACAAAACAACAUGUAGCAUUUUAUUGCGGCUCUAGAUUAUGAAGAUCUCAUAAUCUGAAACCUAUUUUCAGGCUAAUGAUAUAACUUGAACAUAUAGGACAACAAUUAGUCAAGAAUGGUUAAAAUGCAGGGGACUUCAGAACAUAGAACUGUAUAUUUGGCCAGUAAAAGAAAAAUCUAUUUAUAAAAAACAAGAACUAAGCAUACAAGCAAUAAGAAAAUAGUUAAAUUAUUUAGUUAUGAAUUAGAUGUGUCUACUAAUGGCAACCAAACUCAAAUUACUCAGAGGGAAUUGAACAAAGGAGUAAAUCAAUAAACUUCAAUUAUUUAUAGACUUCUGCAUGUUUUGAUAUUUCAUAAAUUAUUUAUCGUACUUGAAUAAACUUCAGCAUUUAAACAAAAAUAUUGAUAAUAUUUGUCUACAGAAAUCAAUGUUGUUCAUGUAUAUCUUUAGCAUGAAAGCCCUCUAUUGUGAAGAACUCAAGAAAGCAGAUGCAAAAGGGAACCAAGUCAUAUAUCAUAGAUGCACAGAUGAAUGUAUUUAUCCAUUUUACAAAAUUUUUAUAAUGAAAAGAAACUGAAGAAGGCAGGUUCAAAAGGGAAUCAUAUUUGCACCAGCAAGUAGAAAAAUAUGCCAAUACUAAAGCAAUAUAGGCCACCAAGAUCUGCAAGGAAGAUCACUGCAUGGCGAAGAAAGAAUACAGCAUUUUAAUACCAGUGUUCAGCCUAUCUUCAACAAAAAAAAAUUUAUAGAAGAGCAGAAAGCUGCAACAGCAGAGACAGAAUACCUAUCUAUCAAAGUCAAUGCAAAGAACUACAAGACUAAAGCUGCAACAGCAUAGAUCGGAUCCACAAGAUAGCAUUAUCUCUUUAAAGAAAGACCAUUUUACGACAUUGUACGCAUUAUCUCUUUCUACAGAAUAUCAUGAUAUUUAAAUAAAGAACAUAUUUUUUAUAAGUAAAAAAGAUCACUCAAAAAGCUCAAUACUUUAAAACCAGUUAAGCAAUUUAACUCUUCCCAAAUACCACAAUACGGAAAUAUGAUUCACACAACAUUACACAAAAGCUAGGAAUAGAUUUAGAAUAUGAUCCUAAAGAAACUCACUUUAGUUCAUGAAUGCCACCAAUAAGGUACAAACAUAGAAAAAAAAUAAUUUUUUUUUCCUAAAAUUUUAUGGUUUUCUAGCUAGGAAAUUCAUUCCAAGUACAUUCAUUCAACAAACUAGGACCAAGUAUUCUUUCGGCUUUCAGAACCUCAGUUUUCCAGCUUUAAUGACAGAAACAGAAUCAUAUUCCUGAAUAUCAUUCGAAACGAAUUUCAAUAUCAAUCAAGCAUUUUCCUUUCCUUUGUUUCCUUGAUAUAAAAAUGAAGUCUUUGAAAGCUUUAACAUAAAACGAGUAAACAAGUUGAGAGGAUACUGAGUUCAGCUAUAUUAACAAUUCAAAACUAAUUCCAUUAAAAAACCAGUGUUAUUACUUCAAAUAUAUCACAUCUAAUACACUGAAUAUUCAUAAAGAAGUAAAUCAUUCAUAAUACUUUUGCAGAGCGUUAUGAUUUCAACCAGUUUUACGAAACAGCUACAACCAGAAUAUCAAAUUAUAACUAGAAAGAGACCUGACGAAGGCCACCACCGAGCUUGAUGGUCUGGUUUGUCAUGCUAGCACUACUAGAAAAAUGGUCUUUGCUGAUACUUAUCUUGUGACACUUAAUUAAAAAGUAUCAGUAAUUACAUGUGUUUGGGGCAUUUUCCGUGUUUAACAGAUAAGUAUUACAAAUUUUCAAUACUAUAGUGUCUGUAAAUUAAGUAUCACAAAUAUGUGACAUUAAGGUAUCAGUAAUUAAAAAAAUAAAAUUUUAAUUUUGUAUCCACUGGGAGUCGAACCGCAGGCUUCUAUACUUUAACUUUUUAAUUUUAAACAUUAAGCCACCAAACCACAAGUUGCAUUUUUACUUAAUAAACAAUAAUUAUUAAAAAUUAAAUUAAAUUAUCUAGAAAGUAGAAACUAUGUCGUUUUAAUGAGGUGUACAUGGAAACCUAAAAUCUAAAAAUUUUGACGAGCAAAAAAUCUAUCCCCACCGCCACUUUCUUCUUUGAACCGAAGCUCUCUUCUCUCUCUCUCACCCCUCUCUCUCUAACAACGGUCUACCUCACAAGUCGUUGCUGUAAACCUUCAAAAUAAGCCGCCAUCCUUGAGCUAAAAUACCCUUGGAAAAAAGCCUAGAAAGUGUUGUGAAGAACUUGGCCAAAGUUAAGGUUCGAAAGUCAGAUUAAAAAAAUUAGGGCUUUUUUUUUUUAGGGGUAUUUUAUUGUUUUUAAUGUUGAGUUCAGAGAGGCCAUCGACAUUGUGGGGGUUUAAGACAAGGGGAUUGGGCCCUGCAGAGCCAAGAAGGCAAGUUAGAGGCGAUUCCUUGAUGAGAAUGCUAAUGCUUCUGAAAUGGAUUUUCUUGGAGGAGACCUUGCUGUUUCAGCCUUUGCAGAUCUUUCUUUUGAUCUUCCAUUGAGGUGGUUUAGAGAAAAAGGAAUUCAUGGACAUCUUUUUGCAUGUGCUGGGAACGUUGCCAAGUUAAUAGAGAAUGAAUACGGAAUUUCUCUUUGCCAAAGUUUUUGGAGUCAACUCGAAGUUCUGCUGGAGCUGGGAUUGUUUUUCCCACAAACCUAUUCCGCCUGGAGGUGAGUUAUCUGUUCUGUUGAGUUUAUGGAAUUUAAGCAACAUAUGAUGCUUUGAUCUGGGUGGUUGUAUGAUUGAGGAAAGAUAUAUGAUGCAUUAUCAAUCAAGGAUCUGAAGGUAUCUUGGCCUUAGUAAAUGGUCAUUUAGAGUUCUUCAGGACCAGUUUUUUCUUUGAAAAAUAAUUAUGAUUGAACACUGUCUUAAAAUGAUUAAAAGUUAAUUCAUUUCGGAAUAAAAGGAGGUCCUAUACUUCCAUAAUCAAGAAUUGUUAAGGGAAAUAUUUGAUUUUUACUUUGUGGGUCAUUAUCCAUAAGUAAUAUUUGCAAACAUGUAACUCUAUAAUUGGGAAAGUUGAUUUUUGGGUAUUUGUCAAACAUUUAAAUAUGUGGGGGACUAUCCCAUUGAACUAGUAGAUAUUUGUAUGGAUGUCCAUUGAGCUUUUGUUUAACUUCAAAUGUCUACUUCUUGAGUCAUUACUUCUAUAUAUGUAAAUCCUAGUUUAAAGUGCCUGCAAAGAGGUGAUUGUUUCUAUUUCCAUGCUUAAGUUCAUCAUGAAGUUUCCUUUGAUAAACUUGCAGUAGAAAACAUGGAGGGGAAUGAGUAGGGAAAGAGCAUUACAUUGUUGGUCAGAUUUAGGAAAUGCUUGAUGGAGUGCCCUUCUUAUACCUCUUCAUUUUUUUGGACUUGGCUUGUAAAUUGUAUUAUCACCUUGCCAAAUAGAAGUCAAUUUUUAGUCCUUGUUUUUCUUCCUUUAAUCUAAGAUUGAAUAACUUUUCGCAUGAAUACCUCCAUAUUUAGAAAAUUUGUAAUUAUUAUUCAUUGAUUUAUUUAUAAUAGAGCAUUUGUGAUAGCUUUUAACUAUGCACAAAAAUCAUUUGGUAUAUGUAGAUAGAGUAACAUGCUUGUGCUGAAAGUAGAUAUUACAUUGAAAACUUCUUGUCUGCUAUAGUUUGCUAUAUAUAUAACCUUUACCAAAAGAGAAUAAUUGAGUUUAUUUAUAAAUAGCUUAUGAGUAUUUUUUUCUUUCGAACAAAAUAAUUUUAGUUCUGUUAAUUGUUGUUUCUCUAAUGGCUCGAUAUUGGCAGCUAAUUUUUUUUUUCUUUUCCAUGUAUUCAUAUGCAGAUUUGAUCAAUGUGUUUGAAGUGUUUAUUCUUCAACUUCACUUAUAUCCUAACCUAUACAGUCUAUUGAAUAGAGAAGCUGCUGGUGGAUAACGCAAUUAUACUACUCAUAUUCAAAGAGUGAAAGGCAGUCAUCCUUGUCAAUUUAGCUUAUAGAUUUAUUAAAUUUAGCCACAAGUAGUAGGCAUUUGAUUGGAUAGUAGAAAUUUUUAUGUAUUGAAUUUGGAUUAUUUAGUUAUGAGAGUAGGAUAUCUCAUAUUUUUGUUAUUAAAGUUUUGGAAUUUGUAAUAUAUACUAAUAAUAUUUAAAUGUGAAAUGAAAGAUUUUAUGAUAUAAAUCAAUUUCUUUUUGUUAUUUUGUGGUGCCUUUUAAUUUUCUGAAUAAAUCAAUAGGCAAUGAUCCAAUUUAAUUUUUUAUUUUUUUAAAAUAAAUUAACUAGUGAUACCAUGGUAACAGUAAUCAUAGACACUAAUAAAAUAUCAAUAACUACUAAUACUAUGGUGUCAUAAUAUCGGUGAUACUGUAGUAAUAGUAAUUACUGACACCACUUACAAGUGUCAUUAUUUUUCUAACUCCCAGAUUACUGACACAAUUAACAAGUGUCAGUGAAAGUAAUUUCUGACACUAUUCUAAAGUCAGUAAAGACUAUUUUUCUAGUAGUGUAGAUAGGUCAAGCACCGCGUCACCUGGAACCUAAAAUUGUUAAAAUAGUUAAAAAUAAUUAAUUUAAAAAAAAAAUAAGUAAGCGCAUAAAAAAGAACAGAAGAAACACAAGAAAAAAAAUACAAACCACUAUCUUAUCAACAAAGUUCGCUGUUGGCUCGUCUUCAUGAAAAUACCAAAGGGCUUGAACGGUAUUUUCGCAACAACUUUCCCCUCUAGAGGCCAAACACGACAAACAGAACGAGGGCGACAACGGCGCCGGAUUUGAACUUGAACAACGACGUAUCGCGGCUGAAUUCUUUAAGGCUGGUCUCGACACGGUCAAUCUUUUUGGUCUUGGACUUUUUGGCGGAGAUUUUAGCUGGGUUUUCGAUUUUCAUAGUCUCGAGUUCUUGACGGCUUUGUCGAUCGAGGAUUUGAGGGAUUUGUAAGAGUUGGUUCGCUAAAUGAGAAGCCACGAGGUUGAUUCGCAAAUGAUGACGUGCUUGUAAAUGGUUCCGUUUAUGAUUGGGAGAUUUCGAUCAAAAUUAAUAUGAUGAAUUCUUUGCAAGUGUUUUCCUUUGAAGUGUCAUCUUUCAUAAAGUUUGUAAAAUCAAGGUGUUACCAUCUCUGAAUAAAUAUUUACUCUUGAUUUAGACCGGCUAAUCUGAAAUUGAUGAAAGAUUAUGAUUUUGUGUGAUUUUAUGAAUGCAGUCCUAUCUCGUGAAAGUCAGUAUUGAAUGAAUUAUAGUUUGCAGACAAAUUACUCAAAAGCUGCCGCUGCUUCAUUAUUCACAUUACCCAAAUUCAGUGCAGAACUUAUCAUAAGUCCAAAAAUUUUGUGCUUUAUUUGGCUUCACUCAUGUAAAUUUUUUCCACCCAAAUCCCAAGUACUUCCUGCAAUAUCAUUCCUGUGUAGAUGUUUUCCCCUAAGACAUGUUUAACAUUGGUUCAGGGUAAACAAAGCUACAGCCUUUCUUGCAAUGCGCAACAAGUUACUAAAUCAGAGUAUUUAUUUCUGUAUUACUACUGCUAGUAAGAGAGGCGAAAUGGAAAUAUGAACUCAACUUUGUACAAAGUUUGUUAAUAAAUAAAUGAGUUGAUAAAGGGACAUUUUAAAUAUUUACAACAAAUGGAGAAUGAUAUCUAGUUCUAUAUUCAAUGUUUAGAGUCCAAUUGUGAUCGAUAGUGAUAUAAUUACCCCCAUUAGAAAUUUUAAUUAUGAAGUUGCAGUAAAAAUUUAUUAUAAUAUGUUGCACCUUUCUAUACAAUCAUCUGGAGUAAUAACAUAUCAAAAAAAUAAUAACUCGACUUACAGGGUAAGACAGAAAAGAAAGACGCUAAAAGAGAAGCAGAGAUUCAAAGACUUGACCACUUUGUUGGAGGGACAAUUACGUAAAUCUCCAGAAUACUGAAAUAAAGCACUUGCAAUAUCUAGCAUUACGUGUGUAUAUAUAUGUAUAUGUCCAAAGACAAAAAUUCGAAGAUUAGAUCUCUCAUUUCAUUUUAUGCUCAAAGCAAUGGCUUUUGUUCCACAAGCACAAACAAGGAAGAGUACGCACAAAGUUAACAAACACACAUAGCAAAUAUGACAUUAACAAGUUGCAGCAUCAUCAUCCAGAAACUUCACUCUAAUCGUCUUGAGCUUUGCAGCGGCAUCUUUCACAGAUACCCUCUGUUCUUGUGACUUCAUGCAACAAUCAAACGCCAAAUGCAUGAUGCUUAAUAAACAAUUCAUUUUGGCGGAAAAAGCUUGCUCUUCUCUUACUAAUUUGCAUCAACAGCAUCCGUCAGUGCCUGAGGUAACGAGUCCUUUAUCUAGUCUCCGAAACUUAUUUCUCCAGUAAACAUUUCAUCAGUGGGCGUCUUUCUCGUGAAAGUUUCCAUCAGUAAAACACAAUAACUAUAGAUGUCACAUUUGGCCGAAAUUAUUCCUUCUGAUCCGUACUCUGCAAUUUUUGGUUUCAAUAUAUCAAAUAUGAGAUUAUGAAACAAAUGAUAAACAAAUAAUCUUUUGAUAACCAAGGUGACCCAAACUUUCCCUGUGCUUGGAAAAAGAGCAAAAAUUUGAUACUAUAAUUGAAACCUUACCUGGUGCCAUAUAACCAAUUGUAGCCAUUGUCAUUAUGAAUCUAGAAGAAUCUUAUUUGUUAAUGAAUGAUUCCAGAAUGCACAACUGAGCUUGCAUUGCUCGAUUUAUACUGAUUACAAAACUGAUGAUACAGACAUUUCAUUUCAUAACUAACUACUAACAAAUAUUGCCCUAAGCCUAUUACAAUGUGCCAUCUGUUAAUUCUUCCAACAGUACUAGAAUCUUCACAUAACGACUUGGACACAUCAGCAUAAAGUCUAUUUGUGGAAUGUUCUAUGCUGAAUUUGUGCUAUCAAACGUUGAUGGAGAAACACAAUUUUCUUCUUAGAAAAAAUUAUUAUCUAAAGAUUCACACAUGUUAGAAGAGAUUCGAACAAAGGUUUAUUAGUUCGUGGGAAAAACAAUGUUAAUGAAACGAGGUCUUGGUCUCAUAGAGAUAGAGAAAAACAAUUUGUGCAUUCUCUUUACUCGUGGGAUCUAGUUUCCUUAAUUUUGUCCUCAUUCUUUAUUUUUUUUAUAUGCUGAGGAUACACAAAAACAAUGUAGGCUGAGUUUGAUUGUGAAUAAUCUCUUGUGGAAGGAAAUGACUGUUAAGGAUUAGUUAGAAUAAAACUAUAUUCGGAGGGAGAUGGGGUACUUGGUGGGAUGAAUAGUUUGAUUCUGGGGAAAAUAAAAGACAUAACAUUGAUAGAGGACUAUCAGAUUUCUCCGUCCCAUCUACGCUGAGAUCAAAACAAUUGGCUCCUAUUCCGCAAGCACAAACAAGACAGAGCAGCAAAGUCAGCAACAUUCGGAACGAGUACAAACAGAGGUGGAGGACAUGUCACUCUGCGUUUGCAAUGUCUCCGACGUGUCGUUCUCUAUUAAACGACGUCGAAUAAUAUCAGUGUACGACAAGUGACUAACGGCGGUUAUGGCCGUUAAAUGAGCACGUGAUGGCACGUGAGCAACUAAAUUAUAUUAGCUCAGAAACGUCAAGCUUAGGACCUUUUGAUCAUUACUCAAGUUGCACGCGUGGAGCGCGUGUAAGAAGCAGUUACGGGCCGUUUCUUUUGGCGGGAAAAAAUCUGGGAAACUUGCCCAACAGGCAGAAACAACGGUUAUAUAAAUGCUGAUUAACAACUAUUAUUUUCAGAGGUUGUUAAGAGAGCUCAAAGAGAGUUAGAGAGAGAAAGUCAUCUUGAUUUGUUCUCUAUAAUGCCCUUGAGGCUCUUGUAACCUUGUUCUCUUGAGAUUAGUGAAGCCAUUAACUUGAUCUUGAUCUACUCUAGAUGUAGUCACCUCUGGUGCUGAACUACUAUAAAUAUUUGUAUUCUUUGUUUACUGAUCUAUUAAUUGUUAAUUUCCUUUUCAAAUCAGUGUUUGUGAAUCUUGAGUAUUUCUUGUCCAACAUUGUGGUCUUGGGGUGUUAAUUUGGGAUCGAAUCGCAACACCCAUAAACAUAUCAUCUGUGGGCUUCUUUCUUUCCACCAAUAAAACGCCAUAGCGAUAGACAUCCCCAUCUGGAAGGAAUAAUUCCCUCAAUUCCGUAGUCUGCAUUUUUAUCUUCUUUUAAAUUUCAACAUAUCAAAAAGAGGUCUCUUUAUGAAAUAAAUUGUAAAUAAAUAGCGUUUGGAAUAAAUUUUGCUUGUGUUUAAAAAAAGGGGCAAAGUUCGAAAUAGACUUGAGACAUUACCUGAUGUCGUGUAAACAAUUGUGGCAAUUGUCAAUGUUGUCGCGGUAUCAUCUUAUUAAGUAUGAUUUUAUGAAUGUUGAGCAACCCAGUCUUAUCUCAUGUAAGUCAGUAAUGAAUUAAUUAAAAUUUGCUGACAAGUUACAAACUCAAGAACUGCUGCUGCUUCAUUACCCAAAUUCAGCUCAGAACAUAUCAUAAGUUUUCCAAAAUUUUUAUGCUUCUUUGUUUUGGCUUCAUUCAUGUAAUUUUCCCCCCCAAAUCCCAAGUACAUUCUGCAAUAUUGUUUGAUGUCCAAUGUGAAAGCACGUUUCUGUACAGAUACUUUCCCCUUAGACAUGUUUAACUUUGGUUCAGGGUAAGAAUGUGCAACAACCUGUCAGAGUGAAAUCGAAAGCAGGGUUGUGGUUGAUGGCAAUCGUAUCACCAACAGAAGGCCAGGAACUUCCAUAUAGUUUGCACUGGCAAUUGCGGAGAAGUAUUUUGGUCGCAACAAAGCACUGGAGCUUGCAAAGAUAAUGCUUUACACUCGUACCUAAACGAUUGUAACGAGAACUGGUCUACUAUUGAACUGGAGUAUUCAUUUCUAUAUUACUACUACUAGCAGAGAGGCGAAAUGGAAACUUGAAUUCAUGUUUGAAUAGGGAUUCUCUGUGUUGAUUUGCACAACAGUUUGUUUAUAAAUGAAUGAGUCCAUAUCUAGUAUUAAGUCUGUAUGUGUACAAAGUUACAAAUUCGAAGAUUGGAUUUCUAAUUUCAAUUUAUGUUCGGCUCAAAGUAAUGGCUUUAAUUCCACGAGCACAAGAAGGAAAGAGUACGCACAAAGUUAACUGGUUGCUGCAGCAUCGUCCAGGAACAUCACUUUAAUCUUCUUGAGCUUUGCUGCAGCGUCUGUCAUAUUUUUCCUCUUGUCGGGUGACUCCAUACAGCAAUCCAAUGCCAAAUCCAUAAUGCUUAAUAUACAAUCCAUUUUGGCAGAAAAAGCUCGCUCUUCUCGCACCAAAUUUGCGGCAACAACUUUAGUCAAUCCGUGAGGUAAUGACUCCUUUACCCAUCUCCUUAAACUCAUUUCUCCUGUGAACAUUUCAUCGGUGAGCCUCUUUCUUGUGAAAGUUUCCAUCAACAAAACACCAUAGCUGUAGAUAUCACAUUUAGCUGAAACAAUUCCUUCUGAUCCAUACUCUGCAUUUUUUAAUUUCAAUUAUUAAACAAAUGAUAAAACAAAUAAUUUUUUGAUAAUUAAGGUAACCCAAACUUUGCUCGUGCUUGAAAAAAGAGUAAAAAUUUUAAUUACAAUUGAAACUUUACCUGGUGCCAUAUAAUCAAUUGUAGCCAUUGUCAUGGUUUGUGUCACAAAAUCUUCUCCUUAACCUAAGAGUUUGGAAAUGCCGAAGUUGCUCACGCGUGCCACCAUAUUUUCAUCCAAGAGAAUGUUGGGAGGCUUCAAAUCACAAUGAAUUAUAGGUGCCGACGAAUGACCAUGAUGGAGAUAUUCAAGAGCCGACCCCACAUCUAUUAUUAUAUUCAACCUCUCUAGAAUGUCUAAGAAAUAGUUGUGAGAAUACAACCACUUCUCGAGACUACCAAUCGGCAUGAACUCAAGUACCAAUGCUUUGAAAUCUGGAUUAGAACAACUGCUAAGGAUCUUUAUGAGAUUUCGAUGACGAACAUUCCGUAAAACUUCACAUUUAGAAUCAAAACUCCUAAAUGCUCUCUCUAGUUGCAAAUUGAAAAUCGUUAUCGCAACAUCAGUCUCGUCGGAAAUAGUUCCUUUAUAAACUGGUCCAAAACUAUUUGUACCAAGCAAGUUACAUUCAUUAAAUUCAUCAGUUGCUCGUUGAAUGUCUAGGUACUGUUUGGUAACGGAAAAAGGAGAAAAAAAUGGAGUGGAGGCAUUACUUUUAUCUCAUCCUUAACUUCUGAGGGUGGGGGAUCUCUUUCUCUCUUCUUCUCAUGGAAAAUUCUUUCUUUUACACUCUACUUUUCUGCAAAUUACUCAAAAGGUUUUUUAUUUUAAGGCAAUGUUUAUUAAGCCACAUGAGUGGUGGCACAAGUUUUUCCCAAAGGCCUAGAAACUACCUUGAGCGUCGGAGGGUUCAAAUGCGCCCAAGCACACAGCCCAAAGCCUCUGUGUGUACUCAGACGGGCCCCAAAGGCCUGUAUCUCAUUCAUAUCAUCUGUAAUAUUUGUCUCUCAAUAUCUGUCUGUAUCUCAUAUUUGUAUCUCUGUAAUCAUCAUACCGCAUGCAUAUGCCCCCAAAAGGCAAAAUCGCCCAAACACACGGCCCAAAGCCUCUUUGUGUGUUCAGACGGGCCCCAAAUACCUCUCAUCUCAUCUCAUCUGUAUCACUGUAUCUAGAGGGAAGGGUAUUGUCCAAUGAUUUUAAAAACAAUCUCUAUACUCAUAUUCAUGUAUAUUCUAAUCAUACUUUAAAUCAUACAUUUCUUUUCAUUAUCACAUCUAAAUCCACUUUUCUCAUCUUUAAAAUACUAUUGUAUUUCAUUCAAAGUCGACACAGAAAAUCAUUGACCAAACAUUUUAAUAUAAUAUCAAUGCGUGCAUAAAAUCCAUUUCGAGGAAAUCAUUAAAUCAGAACAUUUAAAAUACUUAUUUCACAAACAUGCUUUACUAUCAUAAUUAACUAUGAAAAUAGGUUUUGUAUAUUCCACUCACAGUGACGGUGUUCACGCUCGGUUAUCGUUCACGUCCGCGGACCGAUUCUCACUCGCGAAUCAUCCAAAAUCAAGGAAACGACAUAAUUAUUUUUCGUAAAUCGGAACUAAGACUAAAUUUAUGCAAUAAACUCGAAACGACCAUCUAUUACUAAAAUACCCUCGAAUCCGUAAAUCGUUAAAAUACUCUAAAAUCGUAAAUCACCGAAUUACCCUCGGAAUUGUAAUUACACCCAAUCCUCAAUUCCAUGAAUUACUAAAAUAUCCACAAGCUCAAAAAAUUACAAAAUUACCCUCAAGAAUGUGAAAUUACCAAAUGCCCUUGCCAGUCAAUGGUCACCGGAAUUUGGUCAACGCUGGCCGGGAAGCACGGGUUAGACACUUUUGGCCAAGCUAAGUUCAAUGAUACCAGCGGUGAGCUCCAACGCGCGGCAACGAUGCUGGAAUCUAGCUCGGCAGCCGUGAAUUUCCAACAAUUGGAUGGCGGCGAAACAAUGACUCCCGGUGGCUAUGGAUGGUCGAAAAUGGAAGAGGGAGUCAUGGGGAACAAAAUCCAACCGGUGGUGUCACCCAAAAUCGGCGAAGCAAAGCGAAACAGUCGCGGGUUUUCAAGCUUUGGUCGCGGGCGUUCUGGUUGUUUUUCGGCGAUGUGAACGGCAGGGGUAUGAUGGCCGGUCUUCAAGCUUCAAAUUGGUACCAAGCUUGACCGGAACGGUGGCCGGAAAUGGAAGUUACGACUGGUCACGUUUGCGGGUCGGGUCGGGUUUUUGGGUCUGUAGUUGGUAGCUUCUCUCACUCACACGUGUGGCUUCCCUCUCCUGUUUUCCAGCUUAUUCUAUUAUUUAUUUUAACCUUUAACCGCCUCUUUUUAUUCAUUUAAUUCACAUAUGUUACAGUACUAUUGACUAUGUGUGUAUAGAUAUUUUGUUUUUACCAUGUAAUUUCAUAUUGGAUACAUUUUUAAUUGUACAUUGCAUAGCGUCAUGAACGGGAAUGAUAAAAUAAAUUUCAAGCAUGUUUAAGUAGAUGAAAAAACUUUGUACGAUUUAGAAGGAUUUACUGAUUAAAUAAUUAUCCAAUUUGUUUGCCUGGAGGAAUUGAAUAGUUAAUUGAUUAGAGGACCAGCUGGGCAUUGUAAAUAUUAACGGUCAUUAUUAAACAAAUGAUAAAACAAAUAAUACUCUUAUAACAAUAUUUUUUACAUUAAUUUUUUAAUCAAUAAAAAAAGGUAACUAACAAAUUAACUGAUAAAUUAAUUUGUUAAUAGUUUUUGUUAAUUUUUUAAUCAAUAAAAAAGUUAAUUAAAAAAUUUACUUAUUAGCAAAUUAAAAAAUAAAUAUUAGCAUAAAAUAAUUGAUAUUUCAUUCUCUUACAACAAUCUUACUAAUUAUUAUUUAUAAAUUAAUUAAUACAAGUUAAUUUAAAAUAAUGUUUAAUAUUCUUGUAACAACCUUUCUAAUAAUUGUUUUAUAAAAAAAAUUAAUUUAUUAAAUUAAUCCUAAAAGUAAAAUAAUAAUAAUUAAUUUAUAUUUUAUUUUUAAGAUUAAUUUGAUAAAUCGUGGUGCCCGGCAGGUAAAAAGCCAUGUCACCCUCAUUCUUAAGCUGCUACAGCAUUACCACUCUGUCAGUUGCCACGAAGCUCCCCACAUCAUUACCGUAACGAUGCCUCUAGAAAACUAACUUAAAAAAAUGGUAUUAAUAAGCGUACGCCACGUCACUCCUCACUCUCUUCGUCACUUUCCUCUCACUCAACAUUUUCUCCCCAAACAAAUUCCUUCUUUGAAAAAUCGCAUUUUCUCCUUCACAGCAACAGCUACAAUGUCUUCAACUUCCAAAAAGGUAAUUUUUUUUUAAUUUUAUUUUUUGUUUUGUUUCUUUCUGUUGCCUUUUUGUUUCGUUUUUUGAAUUUUCUGUGUCGUUUUUUUAUCCAAGGUUUUGGUGCCUGUUGCGAACGGGAGUGAGCCGAUUGAGGCCGUGAUAACGAUCGAUGUUUUGAGAAUGUCUGGAGCUGACGUCAGGGUUGCGUCUGUGGAUAAACAGCUUCGUGUCGACGCGUGUCAUGGUGUCAAGAUUGUCGCUGAUGCUCUUGUGUCUGACUGCCGCGACGCCGUUUUUGAUCUUAUAGCUCUUCCCGUAUGUAUUGCAGCUCACCUCAGCUCAUGCUAAUUUAUGUGAUGUUUUUAUAAUUAUAGAUUAUUAUUGCUGAUACUGAAUGUUAAGCUAAAUAAUUUGUUGUUAAGUCAUCUUCAUUUAAUUUUCGAUUGAAAAUGAAAAAAAUAGUAAUUUUGAGCAAAGAAAAAUGUAGAAAAUGUUUAUUUUGUUUUAUUUUUAUUUUUAAAUUUUUGGGAUUUCCUUAUUGUGACUGUUAUCAUUCAUUAUAUGGUCCUAGUUAAAUGUUUCAAGUUGUUGUAGUCUGUGAAACUCUUUUCGAUAUUUAUUCUGGCAUGUACAUUUUUCCUUUCAAUUUAUUUCGUUGCUGAUACUUUGAUUAUGAUAUAUCCUUUUUUGUUUCCCUUGUAGGGUGGCAUGCCCUGUGCUACCAAUCUGAAAGAAUCUGAAGUAUUAGAAACCAUUGUGAAGAAGCAGGCUUCAGCUGGGCGUCUUUAUGCUGCUGUCUGUGCUUCACCUGCUGUGGCAUUAGGGUCUUGGGGUCUGUUGAAGGGAUUGAAGGUAAGAAUUAGAUAAGCCUUUUUUAUGUUUUGUGUUCUUUUGGGAAUUGCAUUGAUAUUUGUGUUAUACAUCAGUUUUGCUCUCACCGAUGAUUGUUAAGUUCUAAUUUAUAGGGUUUUUGAUUUUUUGUAGGCUACUUGUUACCCGUCAUUUCUGGAGCAAUUAGCUCCUGCUUGUGCAGCAACUGUUGAAUCAAGAGUACAGCAGGAUGGUAAAGUUGUUACGAGUCGUGGACCUGGCACUACUAUGGAGUUUGCCGUUGCACUUGUCGAGCAGUUGUAUGGGAAAGAGAGAGCUGAUGAAGUUUCUGGGCCACUGGUAGUAACUUUUAUAGAUAAUGUUGUUUAAAAAAAUUGUGAGUUAUAUAAUUUGUGGAAAUUCAUUCUAAUAGGUUCAUCUGGUAUGUCAAAUUGGAAGGUUCAGAUACUAAUGUAUUCCAAAAAAUUAGUUCAGGGGAAAAGUAUGACCUUUUGCAUUGGAGAUUCAUUAGAUGAAGUUGUAGACCUGCUGGCCCAUCUUAAUGUGGUGAAAACGAUGUCUGAUAAGACUGAUAUAAUUAUCGGAAUCUUGAUAAAUGCAUUUGUUGAGCUUCAAUGUCUCCACGGAUCACAUUCUUUUUAAUGUAAGUUCUUUCUCUUGGUAUUUGUCUUUGAAUUUUCUCUUCCUUAUGCUUUCGUCUUACUUAAAUUCCUUAGGAAUUGCUUUGAAGAUGACAAGCAGAGCACAAGAGACCAGAAACUUGUAUUGAAAAUAAAACUUGAAUUGAAUUCUGUUUACAGACCAUCGUCUAUUUAUACAUAAGAAAACAAAAGUGACAGCUAGCUAAAAAUAACAAAUUCAGAUAAAACAAAAUAAUCCAGCAAUCAUUAGCCAAUGAUAUGAUGCUUCCAGAAUCUUCAUCCAUUUAUUCCAUGUGCUGGUAUUUCUCUGUGUAGUAGUUUUGCCACCUCAUUGAAGUUGCAUCAGCUGGUAAAUAGGUGUAGCUUAGGUGGCAUGCCAAUGUGUCACUGAGCUCAGCUGAUGAUUUGUCAUGGUCAUGGCUGCUAUCUUCAACACCCUCUUUCAAACACAAGGUUUUGUCAAACACCUUGAGUUUGCUUCUGAAGCAGCUGAAUUUAUAGUAAGGUAAUGGCUUGGUUAGAACAUCAGCUAUUUGGUCUCUGCCUGCAACAAAACUGAUUUCCAACUCUCCUCUAGCUACCAUGUCUCUGAUAAAGUGUAGAUCUAUCUCGAAAUGCUUAGUUUUGGAGUGAAAUACAGGAUUGGUUGCUAUUGCAGCUGCACUUGUGCUAUCACUUAGGAUUGUUGGUGUUCUUUGUAUUUCUAUUUUCAGCUCACUUAGCAGAGAACCAAUCCAUGUGAGUUCUGUAGUGCAAAGAGCCAUUGCUCUGUAUUCUGAUUCAGCCGUAGAUCUAGCAACUAAGCCUUGCUUUCUUGAACUCCAAGCAAUGAGGUUUCCACCCAAGAAUACACAAUAACCACUGAUAGAUCUCCUGUCAUCCAAGUCAUUUGCCCAAUCUGCAUCCGUGUAAGCUAUUAGAUCAAAGUACUCUGAUCUUUUGAAUUUCAGACACAUGUUCAUGGUGCUCUUGAGAUACCUCAACACUCUUUUGCAUGCUAUCCAGUGAGGUUGCCUGGGAUCAGACAUGUAUUGGCUAAGCUUGUUCACUGAAUAAGCAAGCUCAGGUCUUGUGAGUAUUGCAUACUGCAGGCUACCUAUAACACUUCGAUACAAUGUGGGAUCAUAAAACUUUUCUCCUCCAUUUUUCUUUAGUUUCUCUGUGGUACUGAAAGGUGACUCAAUUCCUUUACAGUCACUCAUCUCUGUUCUGGCAAGUAGAUCUUGUAUGUACUUGGUCUGAGAUAACAUAAUGGCAUUUUGGUUUCUGUUCACCUGAAUCCCCAGAAAGAAAUUCAGCUCCCCCAAGUCUUUUAAAGCAAAUGCUCCAUUUAAAUUGCUGACCAGCUCUUCAAUACUGCCACUACUGUCACCUGUAAUGAUGAUGUCGUCAACAUAAAUCAGCAAUAUAACUAUCUCAGAUUUUGUUCUUCUGUAGAAUAGUGAGGUAUCACACUUGGAGUUUUCAAAUCCCCAAGAGUUCAAAGCACCCUUUAGUUUGUCAAACCAUGCCCUGGGAGCUUGUCUCAAACCAUACAAUGCUUUCUUUAAUCUGCAUAUGUGAUUAGGCUUACUUUUGUCCACAAAACCUUCAGGCUGUGGCAUGUAAACCAUUUCUGUCAGCUCACCAUUCAAGAAGGCAUUAUUUAUGUCUACUUGCCUCAAACUCCAGUCAUUGUUUACUGCCAAGGUGAGGAUAAUUCUGAUUGUUGCAGCCUUAACAACAGGGCUAAAUGUCAUGACCCAACCCAGACCUGGCAAGAUAUUGUCCGCUUUGGGCCUUAACAAGGCCCGCACGGAUUUGUUCUUGGGGCGCCCAUACACCCCAAAACGCGUCUUGCCAAUUAAGGUGUGGAUCACCCCUUAUAAACCCAGCAUCUCUCCCGUGCUUUGCCGAUGUGGGAUUCGCCUGGGGUGUUACAUACACCCCCCCUUGGGGACUCAGCGUCCUCGCUGAGGUUUGCCCCACCAUCGCUCAAGAGGACACGCGGAACCGCUCUGAUACCAUAAUGUCAUGACCCAACCCAGACCUGGCAAGAUAUUGUCCGCUUUGGGCCUUAACAAGGCCCGCACGGAUUUGUUCUUGGGGCGCCCAUACACCCCAAAACGCGUCUUGCCAAUUAAGGUGUGGAUCACCCCUUAUAAACCCAGCAUCUCUCCCGUGCUUUGCCGAUGUGGGAUUCGCCUGGGGUGUUACACUAAAAGUUUCUGUAAAAUCAAUACCUGGAAUCUGCAAAAAUCCCUUCACCACUAGUCUGGCCUUAUAUUUGUUUAUGGUUCCAUCUGGAUUCUCUUUGACUCUGUACACCCAUUUAUUUCCAAUCAACUUGCAACUUGAGUUACUUGGUACCAAGGUCCAUGUUUCAUUUUUUAGCAAGGCAUUGUAUUCAUCUUCCAUUGCCUCUUUCCAGUUUGGUUCUUUUAAGGCUUCUGAAGUGUUUAAGGGUAAUGCAGUCUGUGGUUGAGUAGAAACUUGGUAUAAUUUUGGUUUAAAGAUCCCUGCCUUAGAUCUUGUUACCAUAGGAUGUGAUGGUAUGACUUCUUUUGUGUUUGGAGCUAUGAUAGGGGAUGAAGGUUGGUCAUUUUCUUGAGGCUGGUGAUUUGUAUGAGGAGAAGACAUUUGAUUAUUUGACAUCAUAUCAGUGCUCAAGUUCUGUUGUGUCUUACCUUGGUCAAGGUUCUGGAAUUGUUCUGAAGCUUCAGGAGUUUCCAGAGAGUGGCCUUGAUCAACUGCUGUCUGAGUGCUUUGAGGAGUAUCAAGAGAGAAUGACACGACCUGAAAUUUUUCUAAGAGAGUAAUAAAAUCACUUUGACUUGUGGACUCUUGUCUACUGAACUUGGUAUCAUUAGAGAAAGGAAAUGAGCUUUCAUUGAAUCUGACACUUGCAGAGAUAUAUAUUCUACCUGAGUGAUGCAUGCAAACAUAUCCCUUGUGAGUUAUGCUUAUUCCUAGCAAUGUGCAUUUGACAGUAUGGAAAUCAAGCUUGUGUUUGUUAUAUGGCCUCAAAAAUGGAUAGCAUUCACAUCCAAAUACUCUGAUUUGUGAGUAAUUUGGUUUGCAAUGGUAAACCAAUUCAAAGGGGGUUUUAUUUCCAAUGACAGGUGAGGCUAAUCUGUUAAUAAUGUAGGUGGCAUAAGUGAAAGCUUCUUGCCAGAAUUUUAAUGGCAUUUUAGCUUGUGCCAGCAAUGUGAGUCCAGUUUCUACCACAUGUCUGUGUUUUCUCUCAACCUUGCCAUUUUGUUCAUGUAGAUAUGGACAUGAUUGUCUCAAUGUUAUCCCCUCUUUGUCAAGAAAUUCUUUGAAUGGUUUAAAUUCUCCUCCCAUGUCUGUCUGUAAUGCUUUAAUUUUCAGAUUCAAUUGAUUUUCAAUUUGGCUUUUAAAGGUGAUGAAUGUAUUGAGAGCUUGGGAUUUUGUUGUCAAGGGAAACAGCCAGGUGUAUCUUGUCAUAUCAUCCACAAAAGAUAAGUAAUAUCUAUGUCCAUGACUUGAGGGAAUUGGUGCUGGUCCCCAUAAGUCAGCAUGAAUCAAUUCUAAGGCCUUGCUGGUUUUAGUUUCUGUGCUUUUGAAGUUUUGUUUAGAUUGUUUUCCAUACUGACAUGCACAACAAAAUGAAGGAACAGAAUUCUUGUUUAUUUUGAACUGAUUGCAAGACAACAGGGUGCUUUUCAGAGCAGACUCAUUUGGGUGCCCUAGUCUAAGAUGCCAAAGAUCAAUGUCUUUCAAAGCAUCAUUGCUUGAUCUAUCAGUUUCAGAGGACUCAACACAAACAUUUGCUAACUUGACACUACUCAAAUUAAAUGACAACAUAGACACUGGAUUGCUGAUGCAAUUUAUUGACUCAGGCAUGAAGGAAGAAGAUAAGACAGCAGCAUAAGGAGUUUUGUUCCCACUCAGGUGAGUAGGUAAGCACAGCAGUUCAUAAAGCCCCUCUCUAGCCACUCCUUUCACCAGAAUUUUCCCUUGUCUCUUGUCCUUGAUAAAACACACAGAUUUUUGAAAUUCGAUAUCAAUGUCAUUAUCAUGCAAUAAUCUGGAAAUGCUAAUGAGAUUUUUAGUGAUGCUUGGCACAAAUAAUAUGUCAUUUAAAGUGAUGUGUUUAUGUGGAUUUGAAGUGAAGAGCAUAGAGUUACCAAUAUGAGAAAUCAGGAGUUUUUCACCAUUUCCAACAGUUAGAUUUUCAUUACCUUGAUACUCAGAGUUGGUGUUUAUGUUGCUAAGGGCAUUUGUCACAUGGUUUGUAGCACCACUGUCCAAGUACCAGGCUCCACUGUUUUGGCCAUCAGUUGCAGCCACAUAUGCACCUCUUGGUUCCCUCCUUUGGCUUGGUUGUGGUACAUAAUUCUUUUUAAAUCUGUGCCAGCAAUCAGCAGCCGUGUGUCCCAUUUUCCAGCAAAUUUGACAAGGCCCCUUUGGAUUUGCACCAUCAUCAUCACUUACAGCUUUGCCCUUCCCUUUGUCAUGAGAGUUCUGAUUUCCUUGACCAUUACCAGAUCCAUUGCCAGGGGUUCUGAAGACUAUGCCAGGUUGAUAUUGAUUUCCAGCCCUGUUCUGGUUGUUCCAAUUCCUUCUCCCAUUUCUCAUUUGUGUGUAGUUUGCUUCUAUAGUUCCUGAGCUUAGGUUGUGUUCAGUUCUGUUUUCUUGGCUGAGAAGCAUGCCAUAGACUUCAGAAUGUGAGGGACUUUCCUGCAUUGAAUUUAUGCUAGCAAUUACUGAAUCAUAUUCUGAUCCCAAACCAGCAAAUACACACAUGAUAAAGUCAUCAUCACUCAUAUUACUCCCUGCAGCCCUAAGAGUAUUUAAUAUAGACUUCAUUCUAGAGUAAUACUCAUGAAUGGUUAGUGAGCCCUUUUUGAUGGUCUGGAUUUGUGUUCUGAGAUGUAGGAUUCUAGCUCUAGAUCUUGCACCAAAUUGAUUGGAAAGAGUUGUCCACACCUCAAAGGAGGUGGAACAAUCCACCACAGUGCCCAGCACAUCCUCACUAAGUGAAGAUAACAACCAACUUAGGAGAAUGUGGUCCUGCUUUUUCCAGACUUGGUAAUUUGGGUUAGGUGUGGUGAUUAUUGUUUGAUCUUGUCCAAGGUUUAUGAAAACUCUAGGAGGGCAGACAUGGCUACCAUCUAUGAACCCCUCAAGUUCAUUUGCUCUAAUGCUGGAAAUCACUUGUGAUCUCCAGAGCAUGAAAUUGUUUUGAUUUAGCUUAAUGGGAGUUGUGAACACAUAUGUGCUGCUGGUAAUGUGUUGAGUGGGUGAAGGUGAGUUGUGACUUGAGUUUUGUUCAAUGUUUUGAGGGGUGUUUUGGUUUUCAUUUUGAUUCAAGUUUUCCAUCUGAUCGUUUUGGUUCACAUUUGCUUGUGUGCUGCUGCUGCUUGCCAUAGCUUUGAAGAUGGCUCUGAUACCAACUUAAAUUCCUUAGGAAUUGCUUUGAAGAUGACAAGCGGAGCACAAGAGACCAGAAACUUGUAUUGAAAAUAAAACUUGAAUUGAAUUCUGUUUACAGACCAUCGUCUAUUUAUACAUAAGAAAACAAAAGUGACAGCUAGCUAAAAAUAACAAAUUCAGAUAAAACAAAAUAAUCCAGCAAUCAUUAGCCAAUGAUAUGAUGCUUCCAGAAUCUUCAUCCAUUUAUUCCAUGUGCUGGUAUUUCUCUGUGUAGCAGUUUUGCCACCUCAUUGAAGUUGCAUCAGCUGGUAAAUAGGUGUAGCUUAGGUGGCAUGCCAAUGUGUCACUGAGCUCAGCUGAUGAUUUGUCAUGGUCAUGGCUGCUAUCUUCAACAGUCUUCACUGUCACCUUGUGCCUGGGUAAUGCGUGCAAAUCAUGGAGAUGAAUACACUAUUGCUGAAUUCAAUCCAAUUCAGUGGACAUUUGACAAUUCUCCCCAGGUGAGAUUGGACUUCUAGUUUCUUGUAAUUGUUUUUCUUCAUCCGAUGUUUUCAGGGAUACCCAUUUGGCAGUAUAUAAAAAUCUGUGAUAUCUUCUAUAUAUACAGAUAUACAUCAUUGGCUUCAGUCAUUUGUGAACGUAUUGGAGUUAGUAGAUGUAUUUUUAUGAUAUCUCUAAUAAAAUCCCAAGUUUGAUCAAUUACAAAAGAAGUAUGAGCAGUGCUGGACCCGCGCCGGGGGGGGGGGGGGCUUCUGUGUGGUGGGGGUGUGCAGUGCAUGAAUAAAAGGAAAUGAUAGGGGGUGAAAGUUUGUGCUACCGACAUGCUGUAAAAUGGGGACAUAAUAUUUCAAAUUAGAGAUUGUGAGAUCCUUAAUAUUGCUGACUUGUGCUUAAAAUGGAAUUCUGGAUAACUUCAAAUGUUAAAGUUCUUGGUGAAAUUUUGUACUUUCUUUUCUUUCAGAUUCUUGUGCCUAUUGCAAAUGGUUCAGAGGAGAUGGAAGCUGUUAUGAUAAUUGAUAUUCUGGGACGAGCUAAAGUAAAUGUUGUAGUUGUAUCAGUUGAGGAUAAACUAGAAAUUCUGGCUUCUCGUCGAAUUAAAUUAGUGGCAGAUGUGCUAAUUGAUGAGGCGGCUAAACUUUCAUAUGAUUUAAUUGUCUUGCCAGUGAGUUGAGGUGCUUACUCUUGCUUCAUAGUCUUUACCACAUUAUUGACUUACUAACUACAAUUUAUCCAUGCACAUUGCACAUGGUGGACUUGGUGGCACUCAAGCAUUUGCGAAGUCAGAUUAAUUGGUGAAUAUGCUAAAGAAGCAAAAGGAAUCAAAUAGACCUUACGGUGCUAUAUGUGCAUCCCCAGCUUUAGUGUUGGAGCCCCAUGGCUUACUCAAGGUAUGACCAUUUAUGCUUAAAUUAUUUACUCAGAUUUGGAUCACCUAAUCUGAACUUGAUGAAGGAUUAUGAUGUUGUGUGAUUUUAUGAAUGUGGUCUUAUCUCAUGUAAGUCAGUGAUGAAUUAAUUGAAGUUUGCUGACAAAUUAGAAACUGAAAAACUGCUGCUGCUUCGUUAGUUACAUUACCCAAAGAGUAAAAAUAAACAUCCCAAAUUUUGUCCCAAAUGAUAUGGCAUUUAUUGAGUGAUUGGUAAUUUUUUACAAAAUCCAAAUGAAUUAAUUAUAUUAUCUAACCGACCAAUUGAUGAAUGUCACAUUAUUUGAGAUGAUUUUUUGGGAUGAAGACUUUGGGAUUUUUACCCGCAAAAAUCCCAAGUACUUCCUGCUCCUGCAAUAUCAUUGCUGUGUAUUUGUUUUCCCCUUAGACAUAUUCAUUCAACUUUGGUUCAGGGUAAAAAAGCUACAGCUUUUCCUGCUAUGUGCAACAAGCUGUCAGAUCAGAGUGAAAUCGAAAACAGGGUUGUGGUUGAUGGCAACUUCAUCACCAGUAGAGGGCCAGGAACUUCUAUGGAGUUUGCACUGGCAAUUGUGGAGAAGUUUUUUGGCCGCAACAAGGCACUUGAGCUUGCAAAGAUAAUGCUUUUCACUCGCGCCUAACGUUUGUACCAGGACCUGACUACUAUUAAACUAGUGUGUUUAUUUCUGUAUUACUACUGCUUGUAGAGAGGGGAAAUGGAAACUUGAAUUCAUGUUUGAAUAUGGAUUCACUGUGUGGGUUUGUACAACAGUUUGGUUUAUAAAUAAAUGAGUUCAUAGAGUCAUUUCAAAUAUUAGUUCUGUUAUCAAUGGUCGGAGUCCAGUUGCGAUCGACUCACUGGGAAUUUUAAUUAUGAACUAAAAAAUUAUGUUAUAUUCCACCUUUCUCAUAUAUAUAUAUAUAUAUAUAUAUAUCAAAUGUUAACUCGAUUUACAGGAAAAGAAAGACGCUAAGAGAGGAGCAGAGACCCAAAAAGAGUUGACCACUUUGUUGGAACAUAAAUCUCUAGAAUAUUGAAAUAAAACACAUACCAUAUCUGGUAUUAAGUAUAUGCAAGAAGAUACAAAUUUGAAGAUCAGAUUUCUCAUUUCAAUUUAUGUUCUGCUUAGAGCAAUGGCUCUUAUUCCACAAGCACAAACAGGAAAGAAUACGCACGAAGUUAAGAAACACACAGCAAAAUUUGCAUUAACUACUUGCAGCAACAUCAUCCAAGAACUUGACUUUAAUCAUCUUGAGCUUCGCUGCAGCAUCUGUCAUAUGCAUUCUCUUGUCAGGUGACUCCAUACAACAAUCCAAUGCCAAAUCCAUGAUGCUUAAUAAACAAUCCAUUUUGGCAGAAAAAGCUUGCUCUUCUCGCACCAAAUUUGCGUCAACAACUUCACUCAAUCUGUGAGGUAAUGACUCCUUUACCCAUCUCCUUAAACUCAUUUCUCCUGUGAACAUUUCAUUGGUGGGCCUCUUUCUCGUGAAAGUUUCCAUCAAUAACACACCAUAGCUGUAGACAUCACAUUUGGCUGAAACAAUUCCUUCUGAUCCAUACUCUGCAUUUUUUAAUUUUAAUUAUGAAACAAAUGAUAAAACAAAUAAUUUUUUGAUAAUUAAGGUAACCCAAACUUUGCUCGUGCUUGAAAAAAGAGUAAAAAUUUUAAUUACAAUUGAAACUUUACCUGGUGCCAUAUAACCAAUUGUAGCCAUUGUCAUGGUUUGUGUCACAGAAUCUUCUUCUUCACCUAAGAGUUUGGAAAUGCCGAAGUCGCUCACAUGUGCCACCAUAUUUUCAUCCAAGAGAAUGUUGGGAGGCUUCAAAUCACAAUGAAUUAUAGGUGCCGACGAAUGACCAUGAUGGAGAUAUUCAAGAGCCGACCCCACAUCUAUCAUUAUAUUCAACCUCUCUAGAAUGUCUAAGAAAUAGUUGUGAGAAUACAACCACUUCUCGAGACUACCAUUCGGCAUGAACUCAAGUACCAAUGCUUUGAAAUCUGGAUUAGAACAACUGCUAAGGAUCUUUAUGAGAUUUCGAUGACGAACAUUCCGUAAAACUUCACAUUCAGAAUCAAAACUCCUAAAUGCUCUCUCUAGUUGCAGAUUGAAAAUCUUUAUUGCAACAUUAGUCCCGUCGAAAAUAGUUCCUUUAUAAACUGAUCCAAAACUACCCGUACCAAGCAAGUUACAUUCAUUAAAUUCAUCAGUUGCUCGUUGAAUGUCUAGGUAGGAUGUUCUUCUCCAUGUUGCAAGAGGUAGGAAAUCUUCGUGAUCUGAUUUUUUUGUACUCCGAUUUCGCCAUCUUAUGUACAUAAUGAUGGUAAUCACUAUAAGUAUGGUGGAUAUUAUCGGAGGCAAAAUAUAUUUAAGGACAAUUAGAGCAACUUUCUUUGUUCUUUUGCUGUUUUCUCGCUUGCAAGGUGGGACUCGGAGUUUAGGUGGACCACAGAGUGCAUAAUUUCCCAAAAACGAUUGAGCUGAGAAGUUCUUAAAAGACCCCUUAAAAGGAAUUUCCCCUUCUAGCCUAUUAUGAGACACAUUAAAUUGUUUGAGAUGUGACAAUAUCUCCAAUGACUUAGGAAUUUUUCCAGAGAGAUUGUUGCCGGAGAGAUCUAAGGAUUCUAAGCUUAUCAAACUGCCAACUGAUUCAGGAAUAGGUCCCUGAAAUUGAUUACUAGCCAAGGAUAGAGUUCCUAGAUCUACGAGGGCACCAAUGGUUGAUGGAAUAUCACCUGAUAAUUGAUUCCUUGAUAAAUCUAAAACUCUCAAUACCUUUAACUUUUGUACAUUGGAAAGGAGAGGACCAUUAAAUGAAUUUGACGACAAGUUUAUCUCUAAGAUGUACUCAAGGCUCCACAAGGAUGACGGUAUACUAGAAGUGAGCUUGUUGGAGCCUAAGCGGAGUUCUCUUAGAGAUGUCAAACUCGCCAAGCAUGGCGGUAUAUGUCCAGAGAGCUUAUUUCCAUUUAACCAUAUUCCGUAGAUCAACUCCAAGUGGCAAAGAUCAUAGGGAAUGGAUCCUUCCAAAUUAUUUUCUUCAAGAGAUAAACCUUGUAGCCGCUUAAGUUUUCCCAUCGUUGGUGAAAUAGUUUCAUUCAAGUCAUUGAAGCCGAGGCUUAAGAGGAUCAGGCCACGCAACUUACCAAUUUCUUGAGGAAUGUUGCCCUUGAGUUUGCACUCGUAUGCAUAGAAUUUUUGAAGAGAAGCAGAGAAAUUCCCAAUUACUGGUGGAAGGAUGCCGCCUAAUGGAUUAGAACCCAAGGAUAAAAGUGUUAAAUUUCUGCAAUUAGUCAAAGAAGAGAGAAAACUCCAUUGAUCUGCUGAAGAUGAUUCUGUCGUCAAGUUAUUCAUCAUAAGGCUGAGCACGCUGAGGUGUCUCAAGUUGCCAAAUGUAUUUGGAAUAUGGCCCGAGAAUGAGUUUAAGCCCAAGUCUAGGCCAAUGAGUUUAGUAGCAUUGGUAAUAGAGUUGGGAAUUGUCCCCAUAAGAUUAUUGGCCGACAAGGCUAAAUACUCUAUGUUCGGAAGCGAGUGGCCAAUCGUUGACGGUAAGCGGCCUGAGAGUUGAUUGCCCCCCAGAGUAAGGAUUCUCAUGGUUGAAAUGUUGAAGAUCGUGGGUGGAAUGAGGCCACUUAAAUUAUUCUCACCAAGAACAAGAUGCUCCAAAUUUUGCAGAUUGCCAAUCUCGGUUGGAAUUUCACCUGCCAUAAGCCCAACAUUGAGGAGUCAUUGAGCUUUUAGCUUAUGGUAAAUUGAGUUUGACAAUGUUACCCUUGAAAAUGUAAAAGGAUCAAAUUAAAUUUAUUACAUAAUAAUUUCAGCCAAUAAUGUUCUUUAAAAUAUUUCAUAGAUAAUUCUGCAAAAUAUGCAUGCAAAUGGAAAAAUAUGCGUCAAUUAUAAGAGGUGGUGGAACGUACCUUGAAGAUUGCUGAAGCGAAGAUCCAGAUUCACGAGUUUACUCAAAUUUCCAAUCCUUGAAGGAAUAGUUCCACCAAUAAUAUUGAACCAUGAACGCAGCGUCUCUAGCCUUGAUAAGUUGAAGAGAGAAUUAGGAAUGGGACCUGUGAAACUGUUAUUAUCAAGAAUCAAUAUUUGGAGGUUAGAUAAGACACCAAUCCAUGAUGGAAAGCUUCCGCUCAAUUUAUUGUAAGCGAAACUCAUGACUCUGAGUCGACGUAAUUGCCCCAAUUCUUUCGGCAGAUGGCCAUGAAAAUUGUUCUCACUAAUGUCAAGAGACACUAGAAAUGAGAGAUUUCCCAAGUGUAGUCGAAUGGUGCCUCCGAGACCCAUAUCUGAAAGAUUCAAGGCAGUGACUCUUUGAUGGCGUGAACCACAAGAGAUACCAACCCAGCUACAUAUUGGAUAAGAUAUAGACCAAUUAUUUGUCAGGACACUUCGAUAAUCAACGACACGGGCUUUGAAUGCAAGAAGAGCCGAUUGAUCGGUUGUUAAGUUGCUCAAAGUCGUCAUAGCUAAGCUAGCUAUGGAAUAUUGUAACAACAACAUAGGAACAAAGAAGAAUGAUAAGCGCAUAUUGGUCUUUAUUUAUUUAUUUAUUUUAUAGAUGCAGCAAUCUAAUUGCUAAGUGAAGUUGACACAAGUUUUAAGUGAAGGAAAUUAGCAUAUACUUAUACAAGAGACGUAUGAAUUUGAAAACAAGAAAAUAAAAAAAAUGUACAGGAGAGUGGAGACUUGCAAAUUGUUAUAUUUUAUCAUUGAGCGAGUCGUCCGAGUAAACGCAUAUAGACUUGUAAAUUGUUAUACGCCGCUGUACUCGAACCGUGAAUAAAUGGGCUUAUGGCACUUUACUUACCAAAAAGAAGAAGACGCUCAGCAUUGGCAAGGCUUGUGCAUUCUGUCCAUUUGUUCACAUUAUGCCGAGGCUCAUGGCAACCGCAAUAUGUUCUUUUCCUUUCCUUUAAAAAUAAAAAAAGACGACCAUGACAUUUGGGUUAAUAAUUAUCACUAAACAAAUAAUAAUGCUGAAGGUCAGUGGUAAAUUGGUAAUACAGUUUUAAAAUAAUUGUUAUUAGUUGUGCUUUAAAAAUAAAAUAAAAAAAUAUAGUUAUACCACUAUAAUUUAAUGAAAUAAUCAUGUAAACUCCUGAACUUUUAAACUUUAAUAAUAGAUACCGAGGACCCCCUUCUGGGUACCUUUUUACCAUUUAUUUGGAUAUCAAAUGCUUUUUUUUUCCGUUAAUUUUCACAGUGGAUUUGAAAUAACAAAUUUACUGUCAUUCCCAUAUCAUCUAAUAAAAUCACUUGCUUCUAUACAUAUUGAUUGUUUUUCCAAAGUUUUAAAUUGAAUUAAAAACAUUCUAAUUAACCUUAAAAAAAAUCAUCCAACCAGAUAUAAAUCUUCUAAUUAACCUAAAGAUAGCUACACCCCCAUAUUAAUUCCAGUUAAAUAAAUCUUCAUUUUUGUCAUGGUUUUGGAUCUCGAGCAAGGUGGAUAUAUCUAACCAGAUCUGCCUCAUUGGCAUUCUGAUAUAUUCUGGAAUUUGAAGGUUAUCAACGAAUUAAUGUGUAAUUUUAAAUUUGUAACAUUUAAUUCUAAUUUGAGGAUUCAAAUAAAUUUAUGUGGAUCUAAAAAUGGACUGAAGAUUGGCAAUAUAACAUUCUUCUUGAUGAAGAUUUUUUUCCUAAUAAGAUCUCCAAUUUUAGACCGGCAAAACUUUGCCUUAUGAAUUAAAGAAAGCAUGAAAAAGGAUUGUUUGCAGGAAAGAAACAUAAAACACUGUAAUAUUUUAAAAAGACAUUAUAUAACCUCCAAAUUCUAUUAUCUUCAAAGAAUUUUAGGGCUUAUUUUUAAAUAAUCUUUUGCCACACAUGCAUUUAUGCAAUCAUAUGAUUAUAGAUUCAAUUACUUUUAAAGUAGAACAAAUUUACUUCUCUUAUAAGUAAAAGCGGGGCAGGCAUUGCAAUUUGCAGCAGUUAAUUCUUGGAUGAAAUUUACUAAAGUAUAGUCUUGUAAAAAAAAUUAGUUUUCUUAAAUUGUAAAUCUCGGUUAUGAUUGGGAGAUUUUGAUCAAAAUUAAUAUGAUAAAUUCGUUGCAAAUGUUUUUCUUGAAGUCUCAUCUUCCAUAAUGUUUGUAAAAUCAAGGUUUUACCAUCUCUGAUUAAAUAUUUACUCUUGAUUUCGACCACGUAAUCCGAACUUGACGAAAGAUUAUGAUCUUGUGUGAUUUUAUGAAUGUAGUCUUAUCUCUUAUAAUUCAGCAAUGAAUUAAUUAAAGCUUGCUGACAAAUUACAAGCUCAAAAAUAUCUUUUACUAAUUUACAAUCUUAUUUCAUUCUUUUUAUAAUAAAAAUUUAAAAAAAUUGUCUUUUAAAUUAAUUUAAUAUAAACACUCAUUGACAACCAAAUAACUAAUUAUUUUUUAUAAAAGCCCUAUUUGUUAAAAUUAUACUGAUAAAAACUCUACUUAAAUAAGUUAUAUUUAAAAAAUUAUAUCCAACAAAACCUUAUUUCUGAUUAGCUUAAUUACUUCCACAACUCCUACAUUUUUUAAACCAUGUGGAUUCCUUCAAUCUCAUAAUCAAAGGUGCUUUAAGCCAUUUUAUUUCUUAAUAUUUUUAAUUAUUAUUGGAAAAGUAGGGUAGCUUAUCAAAAAAGAAAAAGAAAAGCCAAAGUGACGAGUGGCUCUUUUUUAAUUUCAAAGUCAAUGCAAAGUAAAAGUGUCAAAAUACUCAUUUUUUUAAUCCAAAUAAAUCACAAUCAAGGAAGGUUUUGGUGUCCAUCAUUGAAAACUUAGGAGUCUGUAUGACCAUUUAACCAAACUAUAGGGGUAUAGCUGUCAGAAACUUUUAAAAAUAAAUUGUACCAAACAUUCAAAUGAUUUUUUUUUUAUAGUUGAUUAUUAAAUUCUUAGUGUUAGAGCAUCUCUAAAAAACUCUUCAAAUAAAAUUUGACUUUUUAUUUGAAGAGUCAUAUCAAUAUUAAACACUUCAAAAGACACGUUAAUUUAGAUUUUUCAAAUAAGAUUUGGUUCUCACUUUUCAACAUUGUCAAGUGAGUUUCUCCAUCUUCUAUUAAUAUUUUAUUAUUAUUUAUUGAAAAAUAAGUCUGAAAUAAUUAUUAUUUAUGUUUCCUUUCAAAAACAUAAUAGCAAUUCAAUUUGAUAAUGAGAAAGAUUUGAUUAAAAUAAUGUUAACUUAUUCUUAUUUGAUGAGUCUUUUGGAGGGUAUUGUAUUUUUCUAUACACUUAUUUGCCACAUUAGUAAGCAAAUUAAAAUGUGAAGAGUAAAAUUCGAAGAGCCUUUUGGAGAUGCUCUUAGACUACUGUAAGAAUAUAAAUUAUUGAAAUGGACAUAAUAUUAAAUAAAAUUUACUUACAUAUUUACAUACAUGUAUAUAUAAUUUUUUUUAUUGUUUGUAUAUAAAAAUUGCUAACUAAAAAAUAUUUAUAUUUUUUCAAUUUUAUUUCUUUUAUUGUUUAUCUCAAGAUAAAUGUAAUAAUAAUAAUCUCUCUAAAUUUAAUUAUUUUUACUCUUUAUUGAAUAAGGAUAAUUUUGAGUUUCUGUAAUAUAUGUGAGGAUAUAUAUAAAAUUGUAUUAAAUAUAAAAUCAUUCUCAAAAUUAAAUUUUGAAAAACUAUUCCUUUCUCACUUUUCAUUAGGCAAAUGGCCACAGAAAUUGUUCUCCCUCAUAUCCAAAUAAACUAAAAACGAGAGAUUUCGUGUGGAGGGAUGAUGCCUUCGAAUCCCAUCACUGAAAGAUUCAAGUUUGUGACUCUAUGGUAUGAGCACCACAACAUAUGCCAAUUCGACUGCAUAUUGAGUAAGACAUGGACCAAUUAUUCAAGAGAUUCAUGAGCCUUCGAAGUAAGAAAUAAAGCAAAUUAUGCGGUAGUGGGUCAAUUGACUACGUUUCGUGAUCCACGUGCGAUUGCAACGGUCGGUUCAUUAAGUGAAAUUAAUGACUCGUCCUCUUUAGGAUGGUGCUGGGUCAAUUUUAUCCAAGAGUCAACUUACAGUAAUUUGAGUUAAUUUAUAAGAGUAACUCAUUUUCGUUGAUUACGAGUUGUGAUCGAUGACACGCACGAAAAUAGUCAACUCACAGUUCAUUCACUAUAUAUGGUCUAUGGGUGGAUGAAUCUAACGUAAAUUAAGGGCCGAUGAUGACCCUCGACUUCUAACGACGACCAACGAAGACGACCUUGACUACAUGUAAACACACAAUUCGCUCUCAUACAUUAUGUUUUAAAAUUUCUCCAUUUUCCGGGGCCCUGCGGUCAACCGUACACAGUUUAAUUUGUAUAUACAAGACCUCAUUGUUUCUAACAAGCAUAGAGCCAUAGACUGUUAAGCCAAGCGAUUGGUCAUGAGUGGGGCAUGCAAAGCUAUUAUUGUGGCAAGGACUUGGGGAUGUUAUUGAGUGCGGUUUGUUGACUACGUAUCCACUAGCUUGUUAGCUUCAAAUUAGGUUGAGUAGUGAUUAUUUUAUUUUGAAUAAUCUUUGGCGAUUUUGUUGUCAUUAACUACCGGUUAAUGUUCUAUUUUUUAGGGAUAUUAUCUAGGAAUUAGGAAUAGUUGUUAAUUUCUUUUGUAUUUAAAUUCUUUGAUAGUCAUUAAUUAAAGGAAGCUGAAUCCAAUUAAAAUUAUUGUGGUCUUUUUCUCACCCUAAGAGAAUACUAUUGUUACUAUAUAAUUUACAGCUUUGAUUGGGACCUAUCAUAGACCAUAUUAAUUCCAAUUACUUAAAUCUUCAUUAUUCUCAUGAUUUUAGAUCUCGAGCAGCGUGGAUAUAUCCAACCAGAUCCGUCUCACUAGCAUCCCAAUAUAUUUUAAAAUUGAGUAAUGAGUAUCAAUAAACGUGUAAUUGUAAAUCUAUAACUUUUAAUUCUAAUUUGAAGACUCAAAUGAAUUUAUCCAGCAGUAACUCGUUAAAUUAAUAUUUCAUAAAUUUUAACUUUAAUUAAAUAAUAAAUUUUGUCUGUCCCAAUUUAGGAUUAACGUGGUAAUUAAUAAUUUGAUAAGUUAUUAGAUAAUAAUUUUUUAAAAAAAAUCUUAUUUUUUUAUUGGAUCCAACUGAUAUAUAAACUAAUAAUUAAUUAAUUUUAAAACUAAACUCAUGUUAUGUCAAUCAAAUGUUAUUGCAAAGAAGACUAGCAGUGACGCUUUGAAAGGUACACCAAAGUCCAAAGCCUCUUGCACCUUCUCCUCCAUGACCACCAAUAGAUACUUCCACCAUUUCAACGUCAUGACAUGAUGUAAGUUUCUUUUGUGGAAUUUGUGAAUUGGUGCUGGCAGAAGUUAGUGAUACAUGUAACUAGCCAACCCUUGUCAAGUCCGCUUGACUCUUAAAUUUUUGUCACUUUCACUCCGUUCAAAGGCAUGCGAAAGCUAAUUUUUAAUGAAUUUUGAAUCGAGUGUUAGAUGUUUUGGGCUUAUCAAAACUAGAUUAUAUAUUUAUAUAUAUAGAGGGCGGAUCACCAGCCCUUUAAAACUACAUCUAUUUUUACACUGAUUUAUAACCAUUAGAUUUAUUACACAUUAACGGUCAAGAUUUUGAGAAUUUAAUAAUAUAAAUACUUAAUAACAACAAUAAUUAAUAUACUUUCUCUCUCUUCAUUAGUUUCCAUUAAAACCUAAUUUCUCUCUCCUAAUAAAUUUUAGAUUCAUCAUAUUUCUCUCUUCAUCAGUUUCAUUAGUCUUUAAUGAAUUUUAGAUUCACGGUUAGAUAUUUUGGGACUUAUCUUUAAUUAAUAUUUUACACGCGUACAUUUAUAUCAUUGUAUAGUUAUAGAUUCAAUUACUUUUAUGAUACAUUUAUUAAUUUGGAAUUGAAAUAGACAAGAAUGGACUGUAAUGUGAAUGGAGAAUCGAUAUUAGAAUAAAUUAUUUAUUUAAACUGUAGAAAUUGAAAUAAGUUGAAUUAUCAUUAAUGUGUUUAUUUUGUCUUGGAAUUAGAAUUAAAAUAAGUUAGAUUGUAACAAAUUACUAAAAACUACUUAAUGAACUAUUGUUAUAAUUAUUAUUUUGUAUUUUAAUUAUUGUGAUUAUUUAUUAAAAAUUAUAAUUGUUAUUAUUACUUAUUGUUAAUAGUAUAUUAAUAUAUUAAUAAAUUAUAAUAAUAUAUUAAAAAUAUACUUGUAUUUACAAGAGAUGACGGAUAAAAUUUCUAAAAUCGUCUUCCUCCCUAAAACUCUGAAUCCCACAGUCUUAAAAAUUAAUAAGAUUUGGGAAUUAUAUGUCUUUUUUAAAAUAUUAAAGGGUGUUUAUUUCCUUAAACAUUGGGGGCUAAAAGUCCUAUUCCCAAAAGAAUACUGUGCCGGCGUUGGAGGCUAGAUUUCUUGUAUUUGUUUUUCUUCUUCCGAUGUUUUCAGGGAUACCCAUUUGGCAGUAUAUAAAAAUCUGUGAUAUCUUCUAUACAUAUACAUAUACAUCACUGGCUUUAAUCAUUUGCGAACAUAUUGGAGGUAGUAGAUAUAUUUUUAUGAUAUCUCUAAUAAAAUCCAAAGUUUGAUCAAUUACAAAAGAAGUAUGAGUGAUGGGGGGGAAGUGGGGGAUCGGUGUAGUGGGGGUGUGCAGUGCAUGAAUAAAAGGAAAUGAUAGGGGGUGCAAGUUAGUGCUACCGACAUGCUUUAAGAUGGGGACAUAAUAUUUCAAAUUAGAGAUUGUGAGAUCCUUAAUAUUGCUGACUUGUGCUUAAAAUGGAAUUCUUGAUAACUUCAAAUGUUAAAGUUCUUGGUGAAAUUUUGCACUUACUUUUCUUUCAGAUUCUUGUGCCUAUUGCAAAUGGUUCAGAGGAGAUGGAAGCUGUUAUGAUAAUUGAUAUUCUGCGACGAGCUAACGCAAAUGUUGUAGUUGCAUCAGUUGAGGAUAAACUAGAAAUUCUGGCUUCUCGUCGAAUUAAAUUAUUGGCAGAUGUGCUCAUUGAUGAGGCGGCUAAACUUUCAUAUGAUUUAAUUGUCUUGCCAGUGAGUUGGGGUGCUUACUCUUGCUUCAUAGUCUUUACCACAUUAUUGACUUACUAACUACAAUUUAUCCAUGCACAUUGCACAGGGUGGACUUGGUGGCACUCAAGCAUUUGCGAAGUCAGAUUAAUUGGUGAAUAUGCUAAAGAAGCAAAAGGAAUCAAAUAGACCUUACGGUGCUAUAUGUGCAUCCCCAGCUUUAGUGUUGGAGCCCCAUGGCUUACUCAAGGUAUGACCAUUUCUGCUUAAAUUAUUUACUCAGAUUUGGAUCACCUAAUCUGAACUUGAUGAAGGAUUAUGAUGUUGUGUGAUUUUAUGAAUGUGGUCUUAUCUCAUGUAAGUCAGUGAUGAAUUAAUUGGAGUUUGCUGACAAAUUAGAAACUGAAAAAUUGCUGCUGCUUCGUUAGUUACAUUACCCAAACAGUUAAAAUAAACAUCCCAAAUUUUUUGUCCCAAAUGAUAUGGCAUUUAUUGAGUGAUUGUAUUAUCUAACCAACCAAUUGAUGAAUGUCACAUCAUUUGAGAUGGUUUUUUGGGACAAAGAAUUUGGGAUUUUUACCCGCAAAAAUCCCAAGUACUUCCUGCUCCUGCAAUAUCAUUGCUGUGUAUUUGUUUUCCCCUUAGACAUAUUCAAUUGUGGUUCAGGGUGAAAAAGCUACAGCUUUUCCUGUUAUGUGCAACAAGCUGUCAGAUCAGAGUGAAAUCGAAAACAGGGUUGUGGUUGAUGGCAACCUCAUCACCAGUAGAGGGCCAGGGACUUCUACGGAGUUUGCACUGGCAAUUGUGGAGAAGUUUUUUGGCCGCAACAAGGCACUUGAGCUUGCAAAGAUAAUGCUUUAUAAUUCUAUAACAUAAUGUAAACUUAUUAUAACUAUCUUAUCAAAAUGAGGUGGGUUUGCAAGAAUAAUGAGUGGAAUAUCCCCAACCUAUAAAAUAAAAAGAAUUUUGCAACUAUGCAAAUGCAAAUAUGUAGAACGUACCUUGUAGGUUGUUAUAACCUAGAUUCAGAAUGAAAAGGCUGCUAAAAUUUCCUAUCCCUGAAGGAAUAUUUCCAUCAAUAACGUUGUGCAUUGCGUCGAACACCCCCAGCUUCGAUAAAUUGAGGAGAGAAUUUGGGAUUGGACCCGUGAAACUGUUAUUAUAAAGCCUCAACGUUUGUAAUUUGGAUAAGACACCAAUCCAUGUUGGAAUGCUUCCACUCAAUUUAGUGAAACCGAAUCUAAUGAAUCUGAGUCGGCGUAAUUGCCCCAAUUCAUUAGGCAGAUGGCCAUGAAAAUUAUUAUGAGCAACAUCAAGAGAUACUAAGAACGUGAGAUUUCCCAAGUGUGGGGGAAUGGUACCUCCGAGACCUAUAUCUGAAAGAUUCAAGGCUGUGACUCUUUGAUGGCGUGAACCACAAGAGAUACCAACCCAGCCGCAUAUUGGAUAAGAUAAAGACCAAUUAUUUGUCAGGACACUUCGAUAAUCAACGACACGGGCUUUGAAUGCAAGAAGAGCCGAUUGAUCUGUUGUUAAGUUGCUCAAAGUCGUCAUAGCUAAGCUAGCUAUGGAAUAUUGUAACAACAACAUAGGAACAAAGAAGAAUGAUAAGCACAUAUUGGUCGUUUUUUUUAUAGAUGCAGCAAUCUAAUUGCUAGGUGAAGUUGAUACAAGUUUUAAGUGAAGGAAACUAGCAUAUACUUAUACAAGAGAUGUAUGAAUUUGAAAACAAGAAAAGAAAAAAAUGUACAGGAGACUGGAGACAUGCAAAUUGGUAUAUUUCAUCAUUGAGCGAGUCGUCCAAGUAAACUCAUAUAGACCUGUAAAUUGUUAUAGGCCGCGGUACUUGAACCGUGAAUAAAGGGCUUAUGGCACUUGACUUACCAAAAAGAAGAAGAUGCUCAACAUUGGCAAGGCCUAUGCAUUCUGUCCAUUUGUUCACGUUUUGCCAAGGCUCAGGGCAACCACAAUAUGUUCUUUUUCUUUCCUCUUAAAACAAAAAACAAAAAAAAAGACGACAUUUACAUUUGGGCUAAUAAUUAUCACUAAACAAUUAAUAAUACUGAGGGUCAUUGGUAAUGUAGCUUUAAAAUAAUUGUUAUUAGUUGUGUCUUAAAAAUAAAGAAAAAAAAUAACUAUACCCAUAUAAUUUAAUAAAAUAAUCAUAUAAAUUCCUAAGCUUUUAACAAUAUACACCAAGACCCCCUACCGUUACUUUUUACCAUUUAUUUGGAUGUCACAUGCUUUUUUUUUUAAUUUUCACAGUGGAUAUCAAAUGCUAAAUUUACUGUUAUUCCCAUAUCAUGUCAUCACUUGCUUCUACACACAUUAAUUGUUUUUCCAAAGUUUCAAAUUGAAUUAAAAACAUUCUAAUUAACCUAAAAAAACUCAUCCAACCAGAUAUAAAUCUUCUAAUUAACCUAAAGAUAGCUACACCCCCAUAUUAAUUCCAAUGAAAUAAAAUUCAUUUUUGUCAUGAUUUUGGAUCUCGAGCAGGGUGGAUAUAUCCAACUAGAUCCGCCCCAUUGGCAUUCCAGUAUAUUAUGUAAUUGGAAGAGUAUGAAUGACUUAAUUUGUAAUUUUAAAUUUGAAAUGUUCAAUUCUAAUUUGAGGAUUCAAAUGAAUUUAUGCGAAUCUAAAAGGGGACGGAAGAUUGGCAUGCAUACACACACACACACACACACAUAUAUAUAUACAUAGGGGUAGGCAUGGGUUGGUUUGGUUUGGGUUUUAAGUCAACCCAAAUCAAACCAUAAAAUUUUGGACCCAACCCAAACCAACUUAAAUAUUUUUAACCCAAACCAAACCAACUCAUUUGGGUUUGGUUUGGGUUUGGAUUGAAUUUUAUAAUCAAAAUAUUUUUUUAUUUUGAUAAAUUUAAUUAUAUCAAAAUUAUAAUAAUAAUUAAUUAUUAUUAAUUAUUAAAUUAAUAUUAAAAUAUGAAAAAUAUAUUGUGGAUAAAAAAUUAAAAGAAAGAAUUAAAUUAAACUCCAAUAACAAACUUCCAUGAACAUGACAUAAACAAAUAAAUUAAAAGAAAGAAAAUAAAAUUCGAUGAUCAAUUGAGUCCACUCCUUCAACAAUAAAUAAAUAACCAAAAAAGAAAAAUUAUAAUGUUUGAUCUAAACUCUGUUUUUGUAUUUGAUAAUCAUAAGAAUAAUAUUAAUUCAAAGCCAUCGCCUCCGUUGAUAUAUUUGAUCCAACGGAGCAUGGUCAUAUGAUUAAAUUUAAAUUGCCCAUUUUGGUGCAGUUCAGUUUGUUCCGACUUGAGCUGAACUGAUUCAAUUUAAUAAGAUUAUAAAUCCAACUUGACCGAAUUGAAAUCGGUCUGGUUCUAGAUUGGAGUGGUUCAUAAAUUAUUUUAACUUAAAAAUAUUAAUUCUUUCUAGUUAUCUAGCUCUAAAGUUAGUUUUUUUUUUUUUUUGCGUCUAAUUCAUUGAAUAGAUUUUUUUUUUUAAUUUAUAAACCAAAUCAAAAUUGUCUGUUCAGUUCAUUCGAUUCCUCGAUUUUUUUUGCUGGCAUCUAUUGGUUAGGACCACCUUCAUUUGUUAUAAAUUUAAUAGAAAAUGGACAGUUAAUGGUGCAGGUGAAAAAGGACAUUAUACAAAGGGGAUUAAAAAAAAAAGCAAAGGAUGUUCUUUUUACUUCAGGAUUAAUAGAGAUUCAGGGAUUGUAGUAAUACAUUAGUUUAAAUUAAAUAAAUGAUUACAACCUAGACGAACAUUGGUAGUGUAGAGAAAAAAAAAACAAUUAGUUAGCUUAACAAUUAGACGAACAUUGAGGUGGAUUGUAGUAAUUCUUGGCCCCAUAGGUUAACCACACCCAAACCAUUAUAAAAUGGUUUCAUACAUAAAAACCUAAAUUUAAUUCAUUUACAUGAUUUACCCAACCCAAACCAAAUUAUUUGGUUUGGGUUUGGAUAAACUCAUGGGUUGUGGGUUUAUAACCAACCCCACACACACACACACACACACACACACAAUAUAUAGAGAGAGAGAGAGAGGUAAUAUAACAUUCUUCUUGAUGAAGAUUUUUGUGCCAUACGAAUUAAAGAGAGUAUUGUGUCGAUGUUCGAGGCUAGAGCGACAAUUGGUUACAUUGCUUCAGAGGUGUUUAGUAGAAACUUUGGUGAGGCAUCACAUAAUUUAAAUUACUAGAUUUAGAGAGAUAUAUAUAUUUUCCACAUUGGAUUUACAAGCAUUUCGAGCAGUAUAAUGAAUUUAAAUUACUCGGAAUUGUAAACAGCGAGGAGAGUGAAAUUGCUAAGAAGAUGAAUAUUUUGUUGUUUUGUGGUGUACACGGAGUCAUCCAUCGGAUAGGUCGCCCAUGAACAGAGGGAUAGAAAUGUUAUUGCCAAGAAGCAGACUGACUAGCAGUGACGCUUUGAAAAGUCCACCGGACAACUUCUCCUCCAAGACCACCAAUAUAUUCUUCCACCAUUUCAACGUCGUGACGUGAGGAUCAGAAUUGAAUUAUAGGAUGCUUGUAAGUUUCCUUUGUGGAACUUGUGAAUUUGUGAUGGCAAAAGUCAAUGAUGCAUGUAACUAGCUAGCCCGUGUAGACUCCGUUUUACACUUUUUCAAAACCCAAAAGCACGCUAAAUCUUAAUCUUAAAAGAAUUUUUGAUUCAGUGCUGAAUUUUGGGCUUAAGUAAUCUUUUACCACGCAUGCAUUUUUGUCAUUGUGCAGUCAUCGAUUGCUUCUAAAGAUCGUAAUCUUUAAGAAAAAAUUACUUCUCUUGAAAGUGAAAGCAGGGCAGCUAUUGGCGUAUUGCAUUGCAGCUGCUAUGUGUAGUAGUCAAUUCUUGGAAACAACUAGUUUUCUUAAAUUGUAAACGGUCCCCUUUAUGACUGGGAGAUUUUGAACAAAAUUAAUAUGACGAAUUCUUUGCAGGUGUUGUUCCUUGAAGUCUCAUCUUUCACAAUGUUUCUGAAAUAAAGAUAUUACCAUCUCUGAUUUAAUAUUUAUUCUUGAUUUGUACCACCUAAUCUGAACUUGAUGAAAAAAUAAAGAUUAUGAUCUUGCCUGAUUUUAUUAAUGUGGUCUUAUCUCACGUAAGUCAGUAAUGAAUUAAGGAAAAUUAUCAUUCGUAUACCCUAUAAUUACUCUGUUAUAAAAAUACUACAACACUUUGAGGGUGUAUCAAUUGUCCACCCUAAGUUAACAAAAUGUAUCUGUCAUCCACCAAACCGUUAUUUGCCGUUUAAAUAGGAUGACGCCAGAGGGGUAAUUUUAUCUUUUCAUAUGAUACAAGUGAUAAUUUAAGGGUAUACAAGUGAUAAUAAAAGAAUUUAAAGGUAUACAAGUGAUAAUUUUCAUUUACUUUAAUUUAAGUUUCAAGGGUAAAAUCGUCAAUUCACUAUAAUUCCGUUAACUUUCAAACGGUAGCUAACGGUUUGGUGGUCGGCAGAUAGUUUUUGUUAAUUUAAGGUGGACGAUUGAUAUACCCUCAAAGUGUUGUAGUAUUUUUGAUAAUAGAGCAAUUAUAGGAUAUAUGAUUGAUAAUUUCCUAUGAAUUAAUUAAAGUUUACUGUCAAAUUACAAACACAAAAACUGCUGCUGCUUCAUUAUUCACAAUACCUAAAGUCAGUGCAGAACUUAAUAAGUUUUCCAAAAGUUUUACGCUUUCUUUCCCCCAAAUCCCAAGUACUUACUAGAUAUGUCAUGUUUAUACCCAAAGUCAGUGCAGAACUUACUCGAUAUGUCAUGUUUACACAAGAGUUUGUUUAUAAAUAAAUGAGUUGAUAAAUAUUUGCCAAAAAAAACGGUGAGUGAUGUCUAGUUCUAUUUUCACAGUUCAGAGUCCAAUUUUGAUUACUGGAAAUUUUAAUUAUGAAGUUGAACUAAGAAUUUGUUAUAAUAUCUUCAACCUUCCUAUACAGUCAUCUGGAAUAAUAAUAUAUCAAAAACAGUAAUAACUCGAUUUACAGGGUGAGAAAGAAAAGAAAGACGCUACGAGGGAAGCAGAGAUUCAAAGACUUCGCCACUUUGUUGGAGGAACAAUUUCAUAAAUCUCCAGAAUAUUGACAUAAAACACAUACCAUAUCUAGCAUUAAGUAUAUUUAUGUAUGUCCAAAGAUAAAAAUUUGAAGAUUAAAUUUAUCAUUUCAAUUUAUGUUCUGCCCAAAGCAAUGGCUUUUAUUCCACAAGCACAAACAAGAAAGAGUACGCACAAAGUUAACAAACACACAUAGCAAACGUGACAUCAACUACUUGCAGCAGCAUCAUCCAGAAACUUCACUCUAAUCUUCUUGAGCUUUUCAGCGGCGUCUUUCGUAGAUGCCCCCUGUUCUGGUGAUUCCAUGCAACAAUCCAAUGCCGAAUGCAUGAUGCUUAAUAAACAAUUCAUUUAAGGAGAAAAAACUUGCUCUUCUCUCACCAAGUUUGCAUCGACAACAUCACUCAAUGCACGAGGUAAUGACUCCCUUACCCAGUCUCUUAAACUUAUUUCUCCGGUAAACAUUUCAUUUGUGGGCUUCUUUCUGGUGAAAGUUUCCAUCAAUAAAACACCAUAACUAUAGACAUCACCUUUGGCCGAAAUCAUUCCUUCUAAUCCAUACUCUCCAUUUUUUGGUUUCGAUAGAUCAAAUGGAUAUGACAUCAUAAAACAAAUGAUAAACAAAUAAUAUUUUGACAGUCAAGAUGGCCCAAACUUUGACUGUGCUUCGAAAAGAGUGAAAAUUUGAAAUUAUAAUUAAAACCUUACCUGGUGCCAUAUAACCAAUUGUAGCCACUGUCAUGAUUUGGGUCACAAAAUCUUCUCCAUCAGCUAAGAGUUCCGAGAUGCCGAACUCGCAUGUGCCACCAUAUUUUUAUCCAAGAGAAUGUUGCGAGGCUUCAAAUCACAAUGAAUUACAUGUGCUGAUGAAUGAUCGUGAUGGAGAUAUUUAUGUGCCAGCCCCACAUCUAUCAUUAUAUUCAACCUCUCUAGGAUAUCUAGGAAAUGGUUGUGUGAACACAACCAUUUCUCAUGACUACCAUUGAGCAUGAACUCAAGCACCAGUACUUUAGAAUCUGGAAUGCAACAGCUGCUAGUGAUCUUUGUGAGAUCUUGAUGACGAACAUUCCACAAUACUUCACAUUCAGAAUCAAAACUCGUAAAGGCUCUCUCUAGCUGCAGAUUGAAAACCUUUAUUACAAUAAUAGUCACAUCAUAAAGUGUGCCUUUAUAAACAGAUCCGAAGCUCUCCGUACCUAGCAGGAUACAUUCACUAAAUCCAUCAGCUGCUCGUUGAAUAUCAUGAUAGGAUAGUCUUCUCCAUGUUGUCGAAGAGAACAAAUCUUCUUUAUCUGGAGUUCUUGUUUUCCUAUUUUGAAAUAUUAUGAAGAAUCAUAAAAAUUGUUAUUAGUGCAUUGGAUAUAAUCGAAGGCAAAGUAUAUUUCAGGACAAGCAGAGUAGCAUUCUUGGAUCCUUUGCUAUUAUCUUCUUUGCAAGGUGGGACUUGAAGGCCUGGUAGACCACAUAGUGCAUAAUUCUCAAAAAACGAUUGAGCUGAAAUGUUUUUAAAAGGUCCUUUGAUAGGAAUUCCCCCUUCUAGCCUAUUGUGAGACACAUUAAGUUGUUUGAGAUAUGAGAGUGCCUCCAUCGACUUUGGAAUUUCUCCAGAGAGAUUGUUGCUAGGGAGAUCCAAAGAUUCCAACCUUAUCAAACUACCAAAUGAUUUAGGGACCAGACCAUAAAAUUGGUUUCUAGCCAAGGACAAAGUUGCUAGAUCUUUGAGGCCACCAAUACUUACUGGUAUAUCACCUGAUAAUUGAUUUCUUGAUAAAUCAACUCUAUUAAGACCUUUAAGUUUUGUAUAUCUGAAGAUAGAUGACCACUUAGAGAAUUUGUUGACAAGUUUACAUACAAGAUGUACUCAGGAUUCCACAAGGAUGAUGGGAUACUAGAAGUGUGCGUGUCGUAGCUUAAAAAGAGUGUUUUUAAGGAAUUGAAUAUCUGAAAUCUUGUAUGUAAAUAUUAACACUUAGAGAAUUUGUUGACAAGUUUUUAAGGAUUUACUGAUUAAAUAAUUUUCCAAUUUGUUUGCCUGGAGGAAUUGAAUAGUUAACUGAUUAAAGGAUUGCAAGGUGGUUAGGUCCAGCUGAGCAUUGUAAAUAUUAACGGUCAUUAUGAAUGUGUAAUUCCUAUAUGUGAAAUUGAAUUUCCAUGGUAAAUUUCUGGUAGGGUGUGAUUGUAUGGUAGCCAAUUGUGAGCAACAGAUCCACAUAGUAAUAUAGACUGAAAUUUUGCGUCUUAAUCCAUGAAGAUAUACAUUUUGGCAAAAUAUUGUACAAGCACUGGGGUUUAGCACUGGGGGUUACCUUAAAUAUUAUGGACUUGUCUUUAAUAGAGUUUCUUUUACCUAGUUAUUGAUAUUUCUUUCAAUUUUUUAUUUUACUGAUACCAUAUAUACAAUUUUAGGUGGCAAGACAACUUUCGAUUUCUAUUGAGCCUGAAAACCUGCAUCUACCAUCACUUCUGUCUGCUUUCGGGGAAUACGAGGUUCCUAUGCGCUUACCCAAAAUACGAGGUCCAGUGGACUCUCAAUGUUAAAGUCUGCGGCAAAUAAACAAUCGUUUCAUUUGUUUUGUUUUACUCUGUUUGGGAUCCAAAUUCAAUUGCAGAACAAUUUUUGGUUUUUCUUCAUAUAACAUUCUGAAGAUAAUACAGGCAACAUUGUUUGCAAUGCUACAGCUAAUUUGUAGUAGGAUGAAACAAUCAGAAAUUUACCUUUUUCAUGUAUAAAAUUUUAUUUGUUUAAUUGUGAUAUUACAGUUUUGCCCAUGAAGCAUUAUGAAGCUUAAUAUUUGGAUAAAUGUUAGGUUUAAUCUAUAAAUUUUAACUUCAGUGUUUAUUUAAUUUUAUAUUUUGUAAAAUAUCUCAAGGCAGCCCUAAUUUUUUAAUCAAUAAAAAAGGUAACUAACAAAUUAACCGAUAAAUUAAUUUGUUAAUUUUUUUAAUCAAUAAAAAUGUUAAUUAAUAUUAAUUAAUAAAUUACUUAGUAGAAAAUUAAAAAAUAAAUAUUAGCAUAAAACAAUUGAUAUUUUUCAUUCUCUUACAACAAUCCUACUAAUUAUUAUUUAUAAAUUAAUUAAUACAAGUUAAUUUAAAGUAAUGUUUAAUAUUCUUGCAACAAUCUUACUAAUAAUUUUUUUACAAAAAUUUAAUUUAUUAAAUUAAUCCUAAAAGUAAAAUAAUAAUAAUUAAUUUGUAUCUUACUUUUAAGGUUAAUUCGAUAAAUUCAAAUUUUUUUAAUUAAUAUCUCCAAAAAUAUAGUUGCAACGAUAUUAUUGCAAAAGUAAAAAAAAUAAAUAUAGGAUUGUAAUAUAACUACCAAUAAAAAUAACUUAAAAUAUUUUUUAAGAUAUAAAAAUUAAACCAACACUUAAUUAAAAAUAUAAAGAAAUCCAAUAAACAUUUAUCUUUUAACAUUUCAACCUAAUCGCUAAUGGUCAUACAAUCGUUGUGUCACCCAUAUUCUUAAGCUGCUACUGCCUUACUACCACUUUGCCAGUUGCCACGGAGCUCCCUACAUCAUAUCGUACCGAUGCCUCUAGAAAACUAACUUUAAAAAAAUGGUAUUAAUAAGCGUACGCCACGUCACUCCUCACUCUCUUCUUCGUCACUUUCCUCUCACUCAACAUUUUCUCCCCAAACAAAUUCCUUCUUUGAAAUAUCGCAUUUUCUCCUUCACAGCAGCAGCUACAACGUCUUCAACUUCCAAAAGGGUAAUUUUUUUUUAAUUUUUUUUUUUGUUUAGUUUCUUUCUGUUGCCUUUUUGUUUCGUUUUUUGAAUUUUCUGUGUCGUUUUUUCCCCCCCAAGGUUUUGGUGCCUGUUGCGAACGGGAGUGAGCCGAUUGAGUCCGUGAUAACGAUCGAUGUUUUGAGAAGGUCUGGAGCUGACGUCACGGUUGCGUCUGUGGAGAAACAGCUUCGGGUCGACGCGUGUCAUGGUGUCAAGAUUGUCGCUGAUGCUCUCGUGUCUGACUGCCGCGACGCCGUUUUUGAUCUUAUAGCUCUUCCCGUAUGUAUUGCAGCUCACCUCAGCUCAUGCCAAUUUAUGUGAUGUUUGUAUAAUUAUAGAUGAUUAUUGCUGAUACUGAAUGUUAAGCUAAAUAAUUCGUUCUUAAGUCAUCUUCAUUUAAUUUUCGAUUGAAAAUGAAAAAAUAGUAAUUUUGAGCAAAGAAAAAUGUAGAAAAUGUAUAUUUUGUUUUAUUUUUACUUUUUAAUUUUUUUGAGAUUUCCUUAUUGUGGCUGUUAUCAUUCAUUAUAUGGUCAUAGUUAAAUAUUUCAAGUUGUCGUAGUUAGUGAAAUUCUUUUGGAUAUUUAUUCUGGCAUGUAUAUUUUUCCUUUCAAUUUCUUUUGUUGCUGAUUCUUUGAUUGAUUAUGUUAUAUCCUUUUUUGUUUCCUUUGUAGGGUGGCAUGCCUGGUGCUACCAAUCUGAAAGAAUCUGAAGUAUUAGAAAGCAUUGUGAAGAAGCAGGCCUCAGCUGGGCGUCUUUAUGCUGCUGUCUGUGCUUCACCUGCAGUGGCAUUAGGGUCUUGGGGUCUGUUGAAGGAUUUGAAGGUAAGAGUUAGAUAAGCCUUUUUGAUGUUUUGUGGUCUUUUGGGAAUUGCACUGAUAUUUUUGUUAUAGUUCAGUUUUCUUCUCGCUGAUGAUU